CCGCCUCCGCCUGUUCCAUGUUGAAGCCCGACAACUGUUGCUCCGACAGCUCCGGCUCCUCCUCCUCUGCCCCCUCCACCUCCAUCGGAGCAAUAUCCUCCUCCUUCUCUUCCCCGGCUCCGGCGAGUCCGAAGUGAGCCCGGCAGCGAUGCGGGCGGCGCGCGCGGCUUGCCUCGCCCGGAUCUCCUGGUGGAUCUCGUAGCGGUGCUUCGGCGUCAGCAUGGCGUAGUAGGUCAUCUUGCUCUGGACCAUGGCGAAGUGCCGGAGCGUGGGCAGAGUGUUGGACCGUGGGCAGAGCGCUGGAGCGGGAGAGGGAAGGAGGUGGAUGGGCUCGAACUGGCAGCGCGGAGAGGGGGAAGGUGGAUGGGGUUAGGGUUGCGGGACGCCGGCCUGCUUAACUAGCCGGAUUUGGUCUUGGGCGGCGAGCCGGAGCGGCGCCACGUGGCGUUCACACCGCAACGACGGUCGCGGCUUCCGUCGGACCGCCGGGUUUUCGGUCGUUUUCACAUGGGACCCCGCCGUCAGACCGACGUAGCAGGCGCGCCCGGGCGCGCCUGAGCGCUCCAUAUCCACCCCAUAUUUGGGCUGGAUAUGAGGGGUGUCGGUCAGCCCGGACGUUUGUGGCACGUUUGAGGGAACUGUCUGGGUCAAAAAAUGGUGACCGGUAAGUGAUCGGGCGGGCCGCCCGGGUUUUUGAGGCCGGUUUGGGGUGCCCAGCUGUAGAUGCUCUUACGAACUUCUUCUUUAACUUCAAAGUACUCUUUAUUGCAAGGUGAUCACCAUAUAGAAACUUAGUACAAAUUUUAUUGAAUCGAAACAAUAGAUACAUCAUUUAUUGAAGUGGCACAAUGUCAUUUAAAAGCUCCUCAAACCAAUCAACAUUCGACAUUAGAGGAAAAUUUAGUCAAUCUAGCAAGCUCAUGAAUAACCUUAUUUGCAUUUCUAUUACAAUGUAAUCUAGAUAUAGGAAAAUCACAAGCAAGAAAAUAAAAAUCAUCAAAAAUUGCCGCCACCACUCCUGUCGGCCAUCCUUCAUUGUUCAUUGUAUCAAUGCCCUCCAAAUUAUCAGAGUUGAUAACAACGAUUGCGUCCCGCCCGUUGAAUCAAAGAAUGACCCAAUCUAAGCGAUUUCGCACGUGUUUUCCGAAAUACUAACGAGUCAAAACAUACGAGAUCGGCUGCCCAACCGACGUUGAGCAUGGGAUCAUGUCGAUCCGAGAUCGGGAAAGGAAGCUCAUCACCCAGGUACUGCGCUCCAAGAAUCGCAUGUAUGUGGUUAACCUACAUGUUGUCAAGCAUGUAUGCCUGUGUGUGCAUGUCGACGACACUUGGAGAUGACACGCGCACUUCCGUCACCAGAACUUUGCCGGCCUCCAGAAGUUGUCCAAGAUGGAUGAUGUGGGGCCUGCCUGCAAUCACCCAUGUCGUGGAGAUGUGCAAGGCAUGCCUCGUCGGGAAGCAACGAUGUGCCUCGUUAGAAGUAGUGGCUAAGCACAAGGCAACAAAGUCACUCGAGCUCGUGCACGAUGACUUGUGUGGCCCAAUCACGCCGGCAACAAUAGGAGGGAAGCACUAUUUCCUCCUCCUCAUCGGCGACCACAAACAUUACAUGUGGCUCAUUCUGGUGAGGACAAAGGACGAGGCUGCAGCGGUGAUCAGCCGCUUCAAGGUUCGGCCAGAGCUCGAGUCCCGGUGCCCUCUGUCUGUCUUUCGACCGGAUCGCCGCGAGAGGGGGGGGGGGAUGGGGGCAUUAGAGUUUUAAGGGUGGUGUGCUGGUCACCGGAACAUGCUUCACUUGACCACCCCAUACCCUUUGCAACAUAAUGGGGGUGGUCGAGCGGCAAAAACGAAUGGUCGUCGACACCGCACAUUGCAUUCUCAAAGCCAUGGGCAUGCUGGUGAUGUUCUGGGGCGAGGUCAUAGCGAUCUUAGUCUUUGUGCCCAACCGAUCCUACACCCUCAACGUGGAGGGGCACACACAGUACGAGGCGUGGCACGGAGGCAAGCCCGGCGUGCACUUUCCUUGUGUCUUUCGCGACAGGGCACAUGUGAAGGAAAUCAGGCCGAGGUUGAAGAAAGUUGAUGGUCACAACAAAACCUUGGUCACACAUAGCUAUGAGCCCGACAACAAGGCCUACCGCCUUUAUCACCCCAUCAAUAAUUGAUUACACAUCUCCCGCGGCGUAGUCUUCGGUGAGGGAAAAGACUGGGACUAGGGGGAGCACGACAUCGAUAAUGCUCUCUUCGUUACUAAGAGCUGGACAACCAGGCUGGAAAUGCCCUCCAUGGCAGCAAAAUCGCUCGGGAAAGUAAUCCCUUCUACGACAGCGGAAGCGAAAGCUGCCUCGAUGGAUGAAUAUGUAAGAACCACUGUUAGGGUAUGAUCUACACAUUUCAUAUACAUCUUUUGGCUCUGAAAUAUGCGGUUUAUUGAGUUAUAUUCAUUCAUUUCUUGCCAUGAAUUGUUGAAUUUGUGAAUGAUAAUCAUAUAAAGGGGUCAUUUACUACUCAGUGGUUUGUUUUGCAGAAAAGUGCGAGAAGGCACUAUAAACUUCAAGAUACGGACUAAGUGGCUAAGAGAACGAAGAAGAGGAGGAAGAAUGGACUUGUCCAAGAAGAAACAAAGUAACCAGGGGGCCAACUUGAGAAGAGAGGGAUGUUCUUGCGAAGGAAGAAGGAAGCAGGAGGGCCAUUGUGCAAAUGGAAGAUCAGAUCGAGGGGUCAAAAUCCCUAGUCCAUCUCCAAUUCCCCUGGGCCUGGCUACUCAACUCUCUCCCUCACACCCCCUUCUCCACCACCGGCCGCCGCCGCGGCCAGGCCGGCGUGGCGGCGCGCCACCAGCACCUCCCACCACAUCACCACCUUGCGCCAUCCACCAGCGCCACCAUCUUCUUCUCCUUCCCCGAAUCCACCAUCAUCCAUCCACACCGCCGCUACCAGCACCACAACGCUUCCCCGCACCUCGCGCCCCUGCUGCUCCUCUUCUUCUCCUACGCCUUGCUGUUGCUCCUCCACUUCUCAACUCGAACCAGCUGCUCCUCCUCCUUCCCUUGCCUCUUCUCAAUCUGCUGCUACUACUCUUCUCCUUACCUCACUGCUGCACUUCUCCUUCUCCUAACCUUGCUGCUGUUCUUCUCUGAAUCCCGUACUGCUGCUGCUCCUUUCUCCAUGCCCCAGUUGCUGCUUCUUCUUUCUCUAAUCUCCUGCUGCCAUCUCUCUUUUCCCUUUUCUUCUCUGAAUUUUCUGUAGUUUGAGACGUCUAGUCUGUAACAUUCAGAUUCUAAGAGUACUUGCUUCCUGUACUAGUUACUUCUACUGUCUAUUUUUAGUUGUUCAAUACUACUCUGUUGAUCUGUGAUACUAGUCAAGUGGCUUGUUUAAUUGGUUACUUGUGUAACCUGAAUCAUGGUGUAGUACCCUGUUCGCAUAUGUGUGCUUAUGUGUGUUCUGUAGUCCCUGUGUUAAUUACGUUCAUGUGAAAAUAUAUAUGUUUGUGUUGUGAUAUAUUUCUGUCUCUGUCUCUGUCAUAGCAUUCUUUCUUCCCCUUUGUUACUUGUAUGAUAGUAAUAUAUGUGUUCGUGUCCCAUUGCUUCCCUUUAUGUUAGUGUUUUAGCGUCUCUAGUAAAACAAAAAUCUGAAUCUACCUUUGCCCUUUUUGCAUUUUCAUUGGCGACAAUCUUCAUAGUUUAGGUUUAUUUUCUGUUCCCAUCAUCUGAAUUGUAUUACCUAGCUUUAGUCGAGCGUAGCUGCUGAUUGCCUAGUCCCUGUGGAGAACACAACAUCCAUAGUUUGGGGCGUAUAAGCCCGUUAUAUUAUAAUUGAUCAGGGUAGCUGAAAACAUUGCCAUGGCAUAGCCGCCCAACGCCCCUUCCACUCUUGUGGGCGGCCACGCAGUGGAGUUUGUCUCGCCACCAUCUACGUGUGAGGCCCUCUUCGAAGUCGACGACAAGCUAGAGGUCAUCCACCGCUACUGCCAUGUCCUAAACAUAAACGACGACAACCUCGGGCAGGCAUAGUGCCUCCUUCUCACCCCUUCCAGUGGGCCUGCGACGCUUGCUAAAGCAGAGUGUGAUGAGCACUGGCAAGAGGCGAUGCACGACGAGCUCAUGUUAAUCGAGGAGAAUGUCACCUGGACUCUAAAUGAUUUUCCUACAGGAAAAAAGUUGAUCGACCUCAAAUGGGUUUACAAUCUCAAGAGCGAUGCCGUCAGCAACAUGGCGAAGCAUAAGGUGUGUCUAAUCGCGAAAGCCUACAUCCAACGUCCGGGGAUCGACUUCAAGGAAUUCUUUGCCUGGGCGGCUCGCCUGGAUUCCAGUCACCUCCUGCUCGCCGUCACCGCUCAGUUUAAGUGGAAAGUUCACCACAUGGACGUGAAGACAACCUUGCUCAACGAUGAGCUUAGUGAGGAGGUCCAUGUCACCAGCCUUCAGGAUUAAUAGACAAUGUUAGCUCCAGCAAGGUCAUGCACAUGCACAAGGUGCUCUAUAGAGUGCGACAAGCUCCUUUGUAGGAUCGAGAGUAUAUCAACCAGAGUGGGAGUCAAUGGGAGAUUUUUUUUUUCCGAAACUUCAAUUAUCUUGAGACAACACAACGGAAGUAAAACUACAGAAGGAACACUGAAACUAAAUUAGAAUAGGCACAUGAAAAUAACUAGACUAAACCAGUAAGACUAAGCAAAACUUCCAACGAAAGCGAUGAUAAUCUUCCUAGUAUAGGACAAAGUGCCUUCUCGAUGACAAUGGUAACACCAAAAGGAAACAGUACAAACAACACAUAUGGAGACUAUGAACGAAGCAAAUCACGAAACACAAACACUAACAAGAGAUGCCGAUCAAUGCAAGCCACAGCUGAAUGACAAGGUAACACCAAAGGAUCAACAGACGAGCAUACUGACAGAUAACUUUGAGCACAAAAUAUUUAAAUACAGAUAACUUCAGUAAUAUUUUAAGGGGUCAAUACCUUCACGCAAUGUUCUCGGUAUAGUUUUUUCUUGGAACAUAUCUCUUUCUUCCCUGCAAUGUAGAUACUUCUCGGUGAAGUUCUUCAAACUUCUUGACAAAAUGUAGCAUUCUUUUCGAUACGUUAGGGACUAUUUCUUUCUGUGUGAACUAGCAAACAAAUCAGUCGCUUACUGUUUCUAAGAACAAUCUCUAAAACCAAAGAGGCAAGUCAUUGCACCAACAUCUUUGAGGGUGGAACACUAAGUUGCACAAUGUUCCGCGGUCUUCGGGUUUCGCUCAGAGCGAACUGGAACAUGUGGUGUACACCCCGAAAACGGUGAUAGGUUCCUGCUCAUCGGUGUCUAGAUCGACAACCUUGUCGUGUCCAGCACGCGUGCACCGGCAAUCGAGGUGUUCAAGAUGGAGAUGAGCAACCGCUCCAAGAUGAGCGACAUUGACCUACUUUCUGUGUACCUUGGCAUCGAAGUGAGCCGGGAGCCUGGCUGGAUCACUCUGGAGCAAACAACGUUCCCUGCCAAGAUUUUGGAGAAGACAGGCAUGACAGACUGCAGCCGCGUGCAUGUGCCCAUGGAGUUGCGCUUGAAGCUCUCCAAGGAAAGGAUGAAUCCGUCGGUGGACGCUGCCUUGUAUCAUCGUGAGCCUCCGCUACUUGGCGCACACGCGGCCAGACACCAGCUUCAUCAUCGACAUGGUGAGCCGGUUUAUGGAGGCACCAACAACGGACCACAUGAGCGUCAGCAAACACCUAGUCAGAUACAUUGCAGGAUGCUUGACCAAGACUGUUGCCCAUACAUGCAACUCUGCGUUUCGAUUAAUCACCGCCAAGUGGGUCGACGUGACGGCUAAUCACCCAUCUAUUAAUAGUGCGAUCGCACCCGUCGAUUUUCGAGGUGGCCGUUUGAAGGGCCGCCAUGUGGUAUCCACUGCUCACCAUCCCCGGCUAUAAAGGUCCAACGACGAGGCGCCCCCAUCCCCAAAACCCUAGUUGUCUCCCCCUCCUCCCCUCACAUCUACUCCACUAUCCACAAAAAUGCUGGCGCGCAAGAACUCAACAUAUUGCCUGAACUUAUCUACUCCACUAUCGAGUGACGUAUUUUGGCACACAUUUUGCAUCCUUUGUCUGCUCAUAUAUCGUCGUAGGAUUGGUGGUAAGAUUCGUAGAUGCUACCGCAAAAAGGCUUGCCCUAUGUGGAUGACCUCAUGUCCUCAUGUUUUCCAUUUUGCCUUUGUAAGCCGAUUUGUACGCCCGGUUAGAUUGAUGGUAAGAUUCGUAGAUGCUAACCGCAAGGCUUGCCCUAUGUGGAUGACCUCAUGUCCUCAUGUUUCCAUUUUGCCUUUGUAAGCCGAUUUGUACGCCAGGUUAAUAAUUAAUAAUACAUGGUUGUGUGCAUCACUUGAUGCAGAUGCCGGGGACAUUUCAUCUUUUUAAGAAGAAAGUCUUAUACUCAUACACGUGUUUGGUGGAUUAAAUUGAUGGUAAAUUACCCAACAAGUUUGAAGAAAAUGACAGAAAAAAAUCAAUGGAAACAAAAUUCAUAUAGUUAGCCCUUUGACGACUAAUAUUUGCGCAUAACCAUCGCAACCUCCAACUCUAUUAGAGUUGCUCUUAGCAGCCGGAUCAAACUUGGCCGGCACAGAAUCGUUUUGCUUGUCGUCUUGCCCAUAUAAUAUGCAGACUGGCUAGUAGUAGAGUACCUCUCAAUACUCGACUGGAGUUUGUUGCAGAUUCUUUAUCUCGCUAAAGGCAAGUUAGCUUUCUCUAAUAACAAAGUUGAUCAGCUAUUCGUAGUUAGCUUAUCUCGCGGGAUCAGCGAUGGGGAAAGCUUGUAGACGCGUACGGGGGAGUUUUAACAUGCUUGUUCUUUUUGCAAACGUUUUUUUUCAAACUUUCAUAGCCAAGUGUAAAAUCUAUAAGAGGUCACUAUACUUGAGAAAAUGUUCAUUUUAGUCACUCGGUUUCAUUGUACCCAAUAGUCACUCACGGAGGUUAAGGUACACGUGUUGGUCACUAGUAUGUUUGGCUUUUCUUAAAUCAAUUUAUUAAUUAACAAGAGGAGAAUUGACCCCUUAGUUUGCGAAAAACAGACGAACAUGGGACAUCACUGGCCAGCCUGGCUACCUUACCAUAUUUCACAUAUGUUGCGGCAAGGUUAAGUGCAAUACAAACCCGUCUGCCCUUGUAUCCCCCGAACCACAAAAAACAAAUCAAGCAGAGUGGGUGAAGUCGAUGGCAAUGUGGGCCAUCCCUUUGCAGUCCUUGUCGUGGGCGGUGAAGAAGAUGACACUCUAUUUCGCUUGUUAGCCAUGGCUGAGGAAGACUCAUUAUUGUACCCGAGCUCCAAGAAAGUCGCCAACCUAGACUCAUUGCUUACAACAUGGUUGAUGGUGAGCUUGGUGGCAAGCACAACAAAGUUGUUGAUAUCACCGCCUAGGUGCACCUAGGUCUAGGUGUUCUUUUUACAUCUCAACAUCUCUCAUUUACUUAAGAUGGCGAAUAAUAGUCGGUUGGCAAGCAACUUGCAAGAAACAAAGGGGUAUAAUUAAUCCAUAGGCAAUGCCUAACACUACUAGCCUUUGCAGCACAAAGAUGCGUAAGCUGAUUAGCUUCUCUACCAAUAUAUGUAAUAGUAAAACUCUGAAAAACUUUAUUGAUGUCAUCGAUUUCUUGUAAAAUACCUGCAAUCUCCGAUCUCCCCCUGAUUCUUCUAGAGUUGAAUCACUAUUUUCGCAUCUGAUUCAAUUAUCACCUGCUAGAGUCCCAUAUCACCUGCUAGAGUCCCAUAUCACAUGCUAGUCUGGCUCCAUCUCUGAUAGCAAUUGCUUUCAUUGAAAAUGCAUUGUUCGUGUGGCUAUACCAGAGAGCUUGGGCUCUAAUUAGCUGCCCGUUCUGACCCCUGACACAAACAUCUGUAGCACCCUCAUGACUGGCCUCUGUAAAACCUGCAUCGACAUUUGUUUUUGUAACCGCUUCAUCUGGAGGUAGAGAAUGAGCAUGGCUCCUUCCCCUAUACUAAGGAUUUUCCUUCCCACUGAUGGACAGAUCGAGAGUCACGUCCGUGAUCCAUGUAACCGAAUUAGAUACAGAAGGCCCAGUCUCCCCAUGUUCUCUAGAAUUUCUAGAAGACCACAUAGACCAGGCUCGACAUAAAUGAUUGAUGUUCAGUCUAUUGUGAUGAACUCAUGGUACAACAUGUUAAUUGCCCAUGAAGCAGAGAGCUUCAAAAUUUUCACUCCCGACCAUUUCGUCACUUCUAUCAAAAAUAAUUUUGCCCAGGUACACUCAAACAAAACAUGAGUGAUGGUUUCCUCCCUAGCAUAGACAUGGCAAAAAUUUACCGGUUCCAUGUGCUUAUCAUGAAGAAUAGCAUGACAAGGUAUGAACUUUUUGAUCACUCUCCACCAGAAGUUGUAAACUUUUGGUGGUACUGGCAUCCUCUAGAAUUUCUUCCAGUAGGAUUUACAGGAAGCAAGUGAACUAGACGCAAUGGAGUUCGGUUUGGCUGUCAGGAUAGCCCGAUAAGCUGACUUGACCAUGAAGUUGCCACAUUUCUCUAGCUGUCAGGACCAUGUGUCCUCCUUGAGACAACUCAUAGGAAUUCUUUGAACCUUGUCCAUAUCAUAAGGAAUCAAGUCCGCUUGCAAAGCCUGUAUGUUCCACAAACCAGUACCUUGAUCAAUGAGGUCCUCCAACAAACUACAUUAGCAUUCAUCGGCUUAAGAAUUAAAUUCAAGCAAGUAUUGUCAGGAAUCCAGGGGUCCUCCCAAAUACGAAUGUUGUUGCCAUCUCCGACUCUCUUGAUCAAGCCUAAUCUCAGGGCAUACCUUCCAUGGAGAAUGGCUCGCCAGGUGUGCGACGAGUUCUUCUUCUCAGUUGUACAUAAGGAGUCACAGUAAGCUACUAGUCUCCAAACUUGUUUAGCAAGCAUUGCUUUAUUAAAAAGCUCAAGGUCCUUGAAUCCCAUCCCGCCAUCACGUUUCAGAAUCGCUAUUUCCGCCCACUUUUUCCAAUGCAUUUUCCGCUUCUCAUCAUCUCCAUGCUACUUGUGAGAUGCGUUGAGAUUUCCUCGAAGAGGAGAGGAUGAUGCCGUACAGUAGGGAUAAGUAUUUCCCUCGGUUAAGAACCAAGGUAAUCAAACCAGUUUGAGAACCACGCAAGACCUCGUGAACAACACUUACAGACAGAAGAACAAAUACUUGCACCCAACACAAACAAGGGGUUAUCAAUUCCUUGGCGGUUAUUUGCAAGGACCAAAUCUCGUAGUGAUAGAUACGUAAACAAAAAAACACAAAAGUAACGGUAAAUAGAUUACAACAAGGUAUUUUUGGAUUUUAAUAUAUGAUACAGAUAGACCAGGGGCCAUAGUUUUCACUUUUCACUAGAGGCUUCUCUGUUGAACACAUCAUACAGUGGGUAAAAAGAUUACUGUUUGUCAAUUGAUAGAAAAGCGCAUAGUUAUGACGAUAUUCAAGGCAAUGAUCAUGUAUAUAGGCAUCACGUCCGAGACAAGUAGACCGACUCCUGCCUGCAUCUACUACUAUUACUCCACACAUCGACCAUUAUCCAACAUGCAUUUAGAGUAUUAAGUUCAUAAAGAACGGAGUAACACCUUAAGCAAGAUGACAUGAUGUAGACAAAUAUGAAUAAACCCCAUUUUCUAUCCUUAAUGACAACAAUACAAAUACAUGUAAUGUCCCUUUCUAUCACUGGUAUUGAGCACCGCAAGAUCGAACCCGUCAAAAAGCACCUCUCCCAUUGCAAGAUAAAUCAAUCUAGUUGGCCAAACCAAAUGGAUAGAUCAGAGACAAAUACAAAGCUAUAAAAUUCAUGCAUAUAAGAAUUCAGAAAAGACUCAAAUAAAAUUCAUGAAGAAUCUGAUCAUAAACCCACAAUUCAUCGGAUCCCAACAAACACACUGCAAAAAGGAUUACAUUUAAUAGAUCUCCAAGAACAUUGAGGAGAACAUCGUAUUGAAGAUCAAAGAGAGAGAAGAAGCCAUCUAGCUAUUAGCUAUGGACCCAUAGGUCUGUGGUAAACUACUCACACAUCAUCAGAAGGGCAGCAAGGUUGAUGAAGAGGCCCUCCAUUAUUGAUUCCCCCUCCGACAAAGUACCGAAAAAGGUCUCUAGAUGGGAUCUCCGAAGAACAAAAACUUGGAGCGGCAGAAAAGGUAUUUGGGGUGGCUCUCUGAUGUAAUUGGAUUAUUUAGAAAUUUAUAGAAGUGGAAUUAGGUCAAGAGGUUCCACAAGGGGCCCACAAGCUUGGGGGCCGCGCCCUGCGAGCUUGUCGCUCCCUCGUGGCUCCGCAUGUCUUCUCCCAAAGCUUCUAGGGUCCCUUAUGGUCCAGAAAAAAUCGUCAAAAAGUUUCAUUGUGUUUGGUAUUGAUUUUCUGAAAGCCAAAAACAAGAAGAAAAAACAGCAACUGGCACUGUGCACUAGGUUAAUAGGUUAGUCUCCAAAAAUGAUAUAUAAUUGCAUAAUAAACAUCCAAGAUUGAUACUAUAAUAGCAUGGAACAAUAAAAAAUAUAGAUACAUUGGAGACGUACCACUCCGCCCCACCAAUAUCUAGCAAUGAUAUUUGCAAUCUUUUUACACAUAUUCCUAGACAAUCUGCAACAGCUCAUAGAUAUCUAAGUCUAGGUUCAAUACACACCUAGAUGAAUGAACAAGGCUAGAUGUUUUCGAUAACCCGAUUAGGUACAAACCCUUUUCCCUAUGCCAUAUUGUGUUGCCAUUUAUUGCGGGAAAUGGACGGGGUGGGGAUUUUGCUUUCACAGCAAGCCAUUGCAAUUUACACCUUUUCUUUUUCGACCAAAAGGUCAAAGCUAACAUAUAAAUUAGCACAAACCCUUAACAGAAUACCUUAUAAAAUUUUAAAGCUAGAUCUAAAUCUUUAGGGUGUCGAAGUCUUCCUCCUGCAUCCACCGACGACGCACUGUGAGCAAAACUUGUUAUCACCGUUGGUUCUCUGUCUCAGCAGAGAAAACUUGUUUAAACCGAAUAACUUGUAGAAGUAACGGUUGAGAAAUCAUCAAUGUACAACAGAAGAUGCCAGCCGUCGAGCUAUGCAUAGCAGAUCAUAGCCCCAUAGAAGAAAACGCUGGAUAGAGCCUGUAGAACACCCAAUUGUGAUCAGAUUAAGUUGGUAAAACAAAAAUCUCAAGCCCCAUGACGAGGCCGAGGGUGGCCAACUUUCUAUUGGGGAACGCAGUAAUUUCUAAAAAAAUUCUACGAUCACGCAAGAUCUAUCUAGGUGAUGCAUAGCGACGGGGGAGAGUGUGUCCACGUACCCUCGUAGACUGAAAGCGGAAGCGUUAUGUAACGCGGUUGAUGUAGUCGAACGUCUUCACGAUCCAACCGAUCAAGUACCGAAUACACAGUACCUCCGUAAUCUACACAUGUUCAGCUCGGUGACGUCCCUCGAACUCUAGAUCUAGCUGAGGCUGAGGGAGAGUUCCGUCAGCACGACGGUGUGGUGACAAUGAUGAUGAAGUUACCGGCAUAGUGCUUCGCCUAAGCACUACGACAAUAUGACCGAGGUGGAAAACUAUGGAGAAGGGCACCGCACACGGCUAAAAGAUCAACUUGUGUGUCUAUGGGGUGCCCCCUCCCCCGUAUAUAAAGGAGGAGAGGGGAGGCCGGCCGGACCUCCUUGGCGCACCCCCAAGAGGGGAAUCCUACUAGGACUCCAAGUCCUAGUAGGUUUCCACCGAAAGGGAGAGAGGGGGAAGGAAGGAGAGGGAGAGGGGGAAGGAAAGGGGGGCACCACCACCCCUUCCUUGUCCUAUUCAGACUCAAGGGGGAGGGGGCGCGCGGCCUACCCUGUCCGCCUCUCUCUCUCUCCACUAAGGCCCAUUGAGGCUCAUUAGUUCCCCCGGGGUUUCCGAUAACCCUCUGACACUCCGGUUUUAUCCGAAACUUCUCCGAAACACUUCCGGUGUCCGAAUAUAGUUGUCCAACAUAUCAAUCGUUAUGUCUCGACCAUUUCGAGACUCCUCGUCAUGUCCGUGUCACAUCCGGGAUUCCGAACAACAUUCAUUACAUCAUAUCACAUAAACUCAUAAUACCAAUCAUCAUCGAACGUUAAGCGUGCGGACCCUACGUGUUCGAGAACUAUGUAGACAUGACCGAGACACAUCUCUGGUCAAUAACCAAUAGCGGAACCUGGAUGCUCAUAUUGAUUCCUACAUAUUCUACGAAGAUCCUUAUCGGUCAAACCGCAUAACAACAUACGUUUUUCCCUUUCUCAUCGGUAUGUUACUUGCCCGAGAUUCGAUCGUCGGUAUUACCAUACCUAGUUCAAUAUCGUUACCGGCAAGUCUCUUUACUCGUUCCGUAAUACUUCAUCCCAUAACUAACUCAUUAGUCACAAUGCUUGCAAGGCUUAUAUUGAUGAGUAUUACCGAGAGGGCCCAGAGAUACCUCUCUGAAACACGGAGUGACAAAUCCUAAUCUCGAUCUAUGCCAACCCAACAAACACCUCCGGAGACACCUGUAGAGCACCUUUAUAAUCACAUGUUGUGACAUUUGGUAGCACACAAAGUGUUCCUCCGGUAUUCGGGAGUUGCAUAAUCUCAUAGUCUAAGGAACUUGUAUAAGUCAUGAAGAAAGCAGUAGCAAUGAAACCGUAACGAUCAUAGUGCUAAGCUAACAGAUGGGUCAUGUCCAUCACAUCAUUCUCCUAAUGAUGUGUUCCCUUUCAUCAAAUGACAACACAUGUCAAUGGUUAGGAAACAUAACCAUCUUUGAUCAACGAGCUAGUCAAGUAGAGGCAUACUAGGGACUAUAUGUUUUGUCUAUGUAUUCACACAUGUACUAAGUUUCUGGUUAAUACAAUUCUAGCAUGAAUAAUAAACAUUUAUCAUGAAUUAAGGAAAUAAAUAAUAACUUUAUUAUUGCCUCUAGGGCAUAUUUCCUUCAGUCUCCCAUUUGCACUAGAGUUUAUAAUCUAGAUUACAUAGUAAUGAUUCUAACACCCAUGGAGCUUUGGUGCUGAUCAUGUUUUGCUCGUGGAAGAGGCCUAGUCAACGGGUCUGCAACAUUCAGAUCCGUGUGUAUCUUGCAAAUCUCUAUGUCCCCCUCCGACACUUGAUGACGGAUGGAAUUGAAGCGUCUCUUGAUGUGCUUGGUUCUCAUGUGAAACCUAGAUUCCUUUGCCAAGGCAAUUGCACCAGUAUUGUUACAAAAGAUUUUCAUUGGACCCGAUGCACUAGGUAUGACACCUAGAUCGGAUAUGAACUCCUUCAUCCAAACUCCUUCAUUUGCUGCUUCCGAAGCAGCAAUGUACUCCGCUUCACAUGUAGAUCUCGCCACGACGCUUUUCUUGGAACUGCACCAACUGACAACUCCUCCAUUCAAUAAAAACAUGUAUCCGGUUUGUGACUUAGAGUCAUCCGGAUUAGUGUUAAAGCUUGCAUUGAUGUAACCAUUUACGACGAGCUAUUUUUCACCUCCAUAAAUGGGAAACAUAUCCUUAGUCCUUUUUAGGUGCGUGUGCAUGUGUGUGUGUGUGUGUGUUUAACAUCAUGUGUGUGCGUGUGUUAGAGAGAGCGACAAAUCGACCUACUCCUACAGAGAGAUGGUGUGUAGUGUACGACUUUAGCCGCGAGAGUCGGUGCAUCGUCUCGUUUCCCGGCGUCCGGUAGGGACAGGAGGACAGCUGCCACGCCCGCUCCUGACCAGCCUGAUCCACCCAAAGCCCCUCCAUUGCCCGCGCGCGCUUCCCGCCCGAAACGGUCUGCGUCCUCCAAAGAAUCAGUGCCGCAUUCAUGCCCUGGCAGAGCGGACGCGACCUCUCACCGGCGCCCGCGUUGAAGGGAGAAGCGGAUUCAAGAGUGAUGGUUGCUUCGUCCGGCCAACUUACUGCUGGGUCUAUGUCAUUUGACGGCUCAUUGGUCAUUAUUACUGAGGUGGUAGGACUGCUGGAUGUCCCAUGCUUUCGGCGAAAGGAGGUACUCCUAGAUUACAAUUUUUCUUUCAGCGGAGGAGUGCAAGAGCAAUGAAAACACGCAUGCUCAGUGAUUACAUGGCCCACCUCACACUAUCACCAUAUUUUCUAGACACCGUGCGACACCUAACUCUUUACAUAGUACUCUCUCCGUUCCUAAAUAUAAAUCUUUGUAGAGAUUCCACUAGGUGGACUACAUACGGAACAAAAUGAAUGAAUCUACACUUAAAAUGCAUCUAUAUACAUCCGUAUGUGGUUCAUGGUGAAAUAUCUACAAAGACUUAUAUUUAGGAACGGAGGAAGUACUAGUAUAGUACAUACUAUAAUUUAUCAGCAAGAUAAAUUUGUACAAUGCUAUGAUGCUUCCAGCUUCUGUUACAUGUAUCUUGGCCCAAGGUUGUCGUUGCAACAUUUCAUCAAAUACAAAGGAAACUAACAUGCAUGCUAUUGCAUCUCAAUGAUUGACAAAUCAUAGCAAAUAUGUACUCCCUUUGUUCCAAAAUAAGUGUCUCAACUUUAUGCAAACUUUGGUACAAAGUUGUACUACUACUAAAGUUGACACUUAUUUUGGAACGGAGACAGCUAAAGAAAAAAAAUGAUCCAUACAGUCCCUAGCCCUUGAACUGUAAACCCUAACCAGGCUUUAAUUUGCUGGCAAUGUUCAAGCUUCCCAAGAAAUGAAGUUUGCAAUCCUUUGACCAUCGGAUCAUUUUGUGCAGUUUCACCAAAAUCGAGAUGAGCAUCCCUGUGGCAAAGAAAUUGAAGAAGCGUGAUUAGAAUAAGAUUACUGGGACUAGUUGAUGACAUAUAAACUCAUCACAAAUACAGUACGUAGAAGCCAUUAGAGGUAUGUGCGGGGCAAAGAAGUCGAGAAAUAUCCACAUGGAGUGACGUGGGCAGCUGGAGCGGUGGUGCAAGCCGGCUGUAAAGGGAGUUGUACCUAUGGGAUGUCGAGACGUAGCUUAACCUUGAGGAGGGUAGCGGGAGGCAGAAACUGCCGACGUCGCGGCAGUGAGCAAGGGACGAAGGUAACCUCACAGGCUUUGUGAGAGAUAACGGCAGGGAACCCUGACCGGGACGUGGCGACAAUGGGUUUUUGCCGUCGGCAACGGCGACCACAUCUACACUAAGCAUCCACCCCUUCCUUCGAUGGACGUGAUCCGCCGGGAUUUAGAGAUGUGGCCACAGUCGUUUUGUGUGAGAGACUGUGAAGAGAGCAACCCCAGCAAGCAACCGUGUAGGCUUGCCCGACUUGACUAUGUAUAUAGUGGAGCGGUUUCCUUUUCUCUCCAUAGGAACCUAUUAUAUUGCGUACAUGCCACUGAAGAAAAAAACGUUACUUAUAAAUGACACGGCACCUACUACUCGUUCUCCUAUAAACCUUGCGCUCGGCAUCUCCAAAAUAUUAACCUUGUGAUUGGCUCUUCGCCUCUUUGGGAAGUCGAGCAAUAAUGGUACUGCAGUAUAUAUCGUUCUGGCUAUAUGAGACCGAAUGAAUUUCUGCACGUCCACCACGUGGGCGAGGGUCGAGGGGCGAGGGAGAGUGCGUACUAUUACGUCUGUUUCAGGGGGUGUUUGUUUCCAGGGACUUUUUAGUGUAGGGAAUAGAGAAAGUCCCUCUUAGAGACUUUUUAACCAAACAGGAAGGACUACUAGGGACUAAACGUUGCUUUUUGUGACUAAAUGAAGAAGACUCUCAAGGAUAGCCUUUUUUGGGACUUUUUGGGACUUUUCCAACAAUGCCCCUCCCUGCACCCAUUGCCCCGCCGCCCCAUGGUGUUGUUUGGUUGUUAUUUUUCUGUAUACAAGGGGUAACAUGGUCAUUCAAUAACCUCUAGGGUGGGACUAGAGACUUUUUAGUGCUUGAAAACAAACAGGGAGGGACUUUUUAAGGAGUAGGGACUUUUUAGUUGGGACUAGAAAAAGUCCUAGGACUUAUGAACCAAACAGGGCCUCAAUAUGGACUACAUACGGAGCAAAAUGAGUGAAUCUACACUUUAAAAUACAUCAAUAUACAUCAGUGUUUGGAGUAUAUACUAGUAGUUCAUAUUGAAAUCUACUAAAGGACAUAUAUAUUCCAAACAAAAUGAUAAUCUCUCUAACCAAGGUAGGGACGAGGAGUAAAUGGAGGGAGUAGUAAAAUUUUCUCCUCGUCCCGCGAGCCACCGCGCGUGUGGGCGAGGGAGCGGGCGUAAGGCAUACAGUACUACUACCAGUAAGCAAGUUUCCCCUCAUCCUGCAAGCCACCGCGCCCGUGGGCUGGGGAGACGCUGUACUAAGCAAGCUUCUCCUCAUUCUGCGAGUUGACGGGACACAUCGAAAGUACUCUAGUGUAUAGAGCCUUGCCUCUAAGGUAGGCCCCACAUGGUUUGCCUCUUUUUUAACAUAACCCAUCAAGUCGCAGUUUGUUUGUUCACUUGUGAUAGACGAUCCUUCUUCCAUUAAGUGGACAACCAGUACAUGUGUCAAAUUACCACAUGGGCUGCCUUUUCAUACAGAAAUGAGCUCCAUUGUGUACCCGUGCGGGUGUGGUUGGGAAAGAGACGGGAGUACAUGCGUCGUGCGUGCACCUCUUCUCCUCGUGCACGUCCCCCACCUACGUGUGUGUGUGAGAGAGAUACAAACCUAGACAGUUGGCGUGUGCGUUCGUGAGUGUUUUUUGUUUGGGGGGGGGGUUGAUUUCGUGAAUGUAUUUGUGGGAAUAUGUGUUGAUGACAUCUCAAACAAAAUUUUGCAUGCAAUGUGUGUGAAAUGGAGGCCUAUCCAUAUCAUAUAUAGAGGGCCGGGCGAUCCACGAGAAGAGAGGGAGGGGUCAUAGAUAUCGAUAGAGUCGAAGAGAGGAUCAAGUGGGUGGGUGCGAGAUCGAUGAAGAGAGCCAUCGAAAUUGUGUGUGUGUGUGUGUAUGUGUGUGUGCAAGUCAAAGAUAUAGGGCGACUGACCUACCGGGACGUCAGAGGACAUUGGUCAAGUUUGUGUGAGGUAGGAAGACAUGACUAGAGCGCUCAAUGUAUCGGUGUGUGUGGGGGGAGGGGGGACAGAGGGGUAGGCAGAGGCCUAACUAUAGAGGUAGAAUGACUCGUAUAUGUGUUGAGAAGGAGAGACCCAGCUAUGUCUUGAUGGAGAUCAGUCGACAUCCAUACAUAACUGAAGGACGGGAAAUAGGAUGGGACAGAGAGAGAGAGAGAGGAGAGAGAGAGAGGGAGGGAGAGGGGUAGAGUGCUGGAUGGGUGAUGGAGUUGCUUCUCGAAGAUGGUGGGAGAGGCCUACUAGACAAACUGAGGGUGGAACUGCAAUAUUAUCAAUAAGAGUGGAGAUGUGUUUAUGUGUAUGCCUGUUGUCGGUGUCAAAACUGGCGGAUCUCGGGUAGGGGGUCCCGAACUGUGCGUCUAAGGCUAAUGGUAACAGGAGGCAGGGGACACGAUGUUUUACCCAGGUUCGGGCCAUCUCGAUGGAGGUAAUACCCUACUUCCUGCUUGAUUGAUCUUGAUGAUAUGAGUAUUAUAAGAGUUGAUCUACCACGAGAUCGUAGAGGCUAAACCCUAGAAGCUAGCCUAUGAUUAUGAUUUUUUUGUCCUACAUACUAAACCCUCUGGUUUNNNNNNNNNNNNNNNNNNNNNNNNNNNNNNNNNNNNNNNNNNNNNNNNNNNNNNNNNNNNNNNNNNNNNNNNNNNNNNNNNNNNNNNNNNNNNNNNNNNNNNNNNNNNNNNNNNNNNNNNNNNNNNNNNNNNNNNNNNNNNNNNNNNNNNNNNNNNNNNNNNNNNNNNNNNNNNNNNNNNNNNNNNNNNNNNNNNNNNNNNNNNNNNNNNNNNNNNNNNNNNNNNNNNNNNNNNNNNNNNNNNNNNNNNNNNNNNNNNNNNNNNNNNNNNAGUCAGUUACAGAGAAGGAAAUCUAUGUAUCCAAAUAUCCAAGCUUGCCUUCCACGCAAAGGAGAGUCCCAUCCGGACACGGGACGAAGUCUUCAAUCUUGUAUCCUCAUAAUCCAACAGUCCGGCCAAAGUAUAUAGUCCGGCUGUCCGAGGACCCCUUAAUCCAGGACUCCCUCAGUAGCCCCUGAACCAGGCUUCAAUGACGAUGAGUCCGGCGCGCAGAUUGUCUUCGGCAUUGCAAGGCGGGUUCCUUCUCUGAAUACUCCAUAGAAUAUUUAGGGCACAAGGAUUGUGUCCGGCUCUGCAAAACAAAUUCCACAUUCCACCGUAGAGAGUAUAAUAUUCCACAAAUCUAAACUGCUGACAGCUUUUUACGACACCACGCCAUGGUCCGGUCUUUAUUCGAUCUGUCUUCAUAACCAGCCACUACACGUGCUGCGAGGUGGUUUUAUUGGCACGUCUUGUCAAAGCAGAGAUCAUGUUCCCCUUAUCACGGGAUACUCAUCAAUACAGGUGUGGGUAAGCCAAUCGUGUCUGUUUAAUAUGACUCCUCGAUUUUAGGCAAGUCCCAAACGGUCACAUGGGGACGCUUGAUAUUCGUCCUCUUUAUAAAGGGGGGCCAAGGCCUGUCCUUUUCUUUCCACACUCGAUCCUUCCCCUCCCGUACCUCAAGCUCCAACACCCAAGGCUCAAGCUAAAGCACUUUGGUCCUUCGACCAUGUCUGGAUCCAAUCUUCAAGGCCGGUGGAUGGCCUCCUCCAUCACAGAGGAGGACAUCCGGAAGCUUAGGGAGGCCAGGUAUCUCACCACCGAGAUUCCGCACAGACUACCUGCUCAAGGGCAGGUCGUCCCCAUUCUUGGACCCAACGAGAGUGUUGUUUUUAUCUCCCACUUUCUCCGAGGGCUAGUUUUUAGCGUGGAUCCCUUUGUAAGAGGGCUCAUGUUCUACUACGGACUAGAUUUCCAUGAUCUAUUUGGAUUCCGUCCUUCACAUCUCGUCGUUUAUAGUCGUGUGUGAAGCCUUCCUCCGCAUCACCCCCCACUUCGGCCUAUGGCUCAAGACCUUCAAUGUGAGGCCGAGGGUGAUCGACGGGUGUCACACGGAGUGCGGAGGUGCUAUAAUAAGGAAAGGCGCCGACGCCCCAUGGCCAAAGGGUUCCUUCGUGGAGACUCUGAUUUAUGGCAACGGGAGUGGUUUUACAUCACCGCCCCCCGAGGUACAAAGCGGGUGACCGCUCCAGCGUUCCGCCUGGGCCCUCCACUGCAACUGGCGUCAUGGGUCAACAAGGGGCUGGACUGGGGGCCGGCUAAUGACGUGCUGACAUUGCAAAGCCGCAUCCGAGACCUUCUCAAGAGGGAUGUUAGUCUUGUCAAGAUAAUGCAAGUGAUGCUGGUUCGUCGAAUCCUGCCCUGCCAACGCCGUCCUCUCCGUAUGUGGGAGUUCAACCCGGAAGGACCGCGAACCGUUCAACAAUUCUUCGGCCUGGCGCUCAAAGAGAUGUAUGAAUCAUUCUUCGGAUCACGAAUAAAGUGUCCGGACACCACCGAGGAUGCGGGUCUCAAUUGCAACUGCCCUGAUACCCAAGUAAGUAAUUCCACUACCGAACACACCAUCCUUUAUGUUUUAUUGCAACAUCAUUCUAAAAAAUUGUUCUCUGCUAGGACUGGCUGACGAAGGCGGAGAGGAUUAGGUGUCCGGCCCCUCUUCCCGAAGGCUCGCCAAAUCCUUUGUUGACCAGGAUGCUUGACCGCGCGCCGUAUCAGGUGCCAUCAGGAGAAGACGAGGGGAGGAAUAGAGAAGCCACAGAUGGGCCUUAUUUUUUACACAUCCAGAUUGGAGGAGUAAGUGCCUCCGUGAAGGAGGAUAAUCGGGGAGGGGAACCUAAAGUCCCCUCUCCUCAAGGUAAGAAAAGGGCCGCCUCCGAAGAUUUGGAAACGGAGGCUUCUAAAGGAGGGAAGAAAACCUCGCCAGGGGGCCGGCCCUCCACCGAGCUGUAAGUGAAAGAGUACUUUCAUAGACAUAUCCUGUUUUGUCUCUGAGAAUAAGGACCGAAACAUAUUUGUUGCAGUCCUGCUCGUAGCCCUUCUCCACAGAGCUCGUCCUCAGGGGAUCUUCCUCCGGAGAUGAUGGAGAGCGAGACGCCUCCUUGCUACAUCUUGAGCUUGUAUUGGUUUUCCUCGAAGAGGAGAGGGUGAUGUAGCAAGUGUAGCGUAAGUAUUUCCCUCAGUUUUGAGAACCAAGGUAUCAAUCCAGUAGGAGGCUCCUCAAAAGUCCCACGCACCUACACAAACAAACUGAGAACUCACAACCAACGCAAUAAAGGGGUUGUCAAUCCCUUCACGGCCACUUGCGAAAGUGAGAUCUAAUAAAGAUAAUAUGAUAAGACAACUAUAUUUUUGGUAUUUUGUAAUAUAGAUGCAAAAAUUAAAGAUGCAAAUAAAAGUAGAUUGAAAGCAAAUAUGAUAAGAGAUAGACCCGGGGGCCAUAAUCACUAGAGGCUUCUCUCAAGAUAGCAUAAGUAUUACGGUGGGUGAACAAAUCACUGUCGAGCAAUUGAUAGAAAAGCGCAUAGUUAUGAGAUUAUCUAGGCAUGAUCAUGUAUAUAGGCAUCACGUCCAUAACAAGUAGACCGACUCCUGCCUGCAUCUACUACUAUUACUCCACACAUCGACCGACUCCUGCCUGCAUCUAGAGUAUUAAGUUCAUAAGAACAGAGUAACACAUUAAGCAAGAUGACAUGAUGUAGAGGGAUAAACUCAUUCAAUAUGAUAUAAACCCCAUCUUGUUAUCCUCAAUGGCAACAAUACAAUACGUGCCUUGCAACCCUUUUUGUCACUGGGUAAGGACACCGCAAGAUUGAACCCAAAGCUAAGCACUUCUCCCAUGGCAAGAAAGACCAAUCUAGUAGGCCAAACCAAACUGAUAAUUCAAAGAGACUUGCAAAGAUAACUCAAUCAUACAUAAAAGAAUUCAGAGAGGAUUCAAAUAUUAUUCAAAGAUAAACUUGAUCAUAAACCCACAAUUCAUCAGAUCUCGACAAACACACCGCAAAAAGAGUUUACAUUGAAUAGAUCUCCACAAGAGAGGGGGAGAACAUUGUAUUGAGAUCCAAAAAGAGAGAAGAAGCCAUCUAGAUAAUAACUAUGGACCCGUAGGUCUAUGGUAAACUACUCACAACUCAUCGGAGGGGUAAGGAUGUUGAUGUAGAGGCCCUCCAUGGUCGAUCCCCCCUCCAGCAGAGUGCCGGCGAAGGCUCCAAGAUGAGAUCUUGCGGAUACAGAAUGUUACGGCGGUGGAAAUUAUGUUUCGUGGUGCCCCUGGAUGUUUUCGGGGUACGUAGGUAUAUAUAGGAGGAAGAAGUACAUCGGUGGCCGCCCGAGGGGCCCACGAGACAGGGGGGCGCGCCCUACAGGGGGGGGGGGGGUGCGCGGCCUCCAAUCUCGUGGGUCCUCUGGAGCUUCUUGACUUGCACUCCAAGUUCUCCGGAUCACGUUCGUUCCAAAAAUCACGCUCCCGAAGGUUUCAUUCCGUUUGGACUCCGUUUGAUAUUCCUUUUCUUCGAAAUACUGAAAUAGGCAAAAAAACAGCAAUAUGGGUUGGGCCUCCGGUUAGUAGGUUAGUCCCAAAAAUGAUAUAAAUGUGUAAAAUAAAGCCCAUAAACAUCCAAAAGGGGUAAUAUAAUAGCAUGGAACAAUCAAAAAUUAUAGAUACGUUGGAGACGUAUCAAGCAUCCCCAAGCUUAAUUCCUGCUCGUCCUCGAGUAGGUAAAUGAUAAAAAGAGAAUUUUUUAUGUGGAAUGCUACCUAGCAUAAUUCAUAAUGUAAUUUUCUUUAUUGUGGCAUGAAUGUUUAGAUCCAAAUGAUUCAAAAUAAAAGUUCAUAUUGAUAAAAGAAAUAGUAACACUUCAAGCAUACUAAUCAAAGUAAUCAUGUCUUCUCAAAAUAACAUGGUAAAAGAAAGUUCAUCCCUACAAAAUCAUAUAGUUAGGCUAUGCUUCAUUUUUGUCACACAAAGAUGUUCCCAACUUCUAUACCCCCGAUGAAAAGCCAAGCAAUUGUUUCGUACUUAAAUAAUCUCAAACUUUUUCAACCUUCACGCAAUACAUGAGCGUGAGCCAUGGAUAUGGCACUAUGGGUGGAAUAGAAUAUGAUGAUGGGGAUUGUGUGGAGAAGACAAAAAAGGAGAAAGUCUCACAUUGACGAGGAUAAUCAACGGGCUAUGGAGAUGCCCAUAAAUUGAUGUCAACAUGAGGAGUAGGGAUUGCCAUGCAACAGAUGCACUAGAGCUAUAAAUGAAUGCUCAACAAAAGAAAACUAGUGGGUGUGCAUCCAACUUGCUUGCUCACGAAGACCUAGGGCAUUUGAGGAAGCCCAUCAUAGGAAUAUACAAGCCAAGUUCUAUAACGAAAAAUUCUCAAUAGUAUGAAAAAGACAACUUAUGAGACUCACUAUAUGAAGAACAAGGUGCUACUUUGAAGCACAAUAUAUGAGACUCGCUACAUGGAGAACAAGGUGCUACUUUGAAGCACAAGUGUGGAAAAAGAGAUAGUAACAUUGCCCCUUUUAUUUAUUUUCUUUUUUUUUCUUUCUUUUUUCCUUUUUUUGGGCCUUUAUUUUUUUUCUUUUUGGCCUUUCUUCUUUUUUUCUUUUUGGGCAAUGCUCUAAUAAUGAUGACCAUCACACUUCUAUUGAUUACAACAUAAGAAUUACAACUCGAAACUAGAACAAGAUAUGACUCUAUAUGAAUGCCUCCAGCGGUGUACCGGGAUGAUGCAAUGAAUCAAGAGUGACAUGUAUGAAUAAUAAUGCAUGGUGGCUUUGCCACAAAUACGAUAUCAACUACAUGAUCAUGCAAUGGCAAUAUGACAAAAGUAAAGUAUGUCAUGAUGAUGAUGAACGAAACGGUGGAAAGUUGCAUGGCAAUAUAUCUCGGAAUGGCUAUGGAAAUGCCAUAAUAGGUAGGUAUGGUGGCUGUUUUGAGGGAGAUAUAGGGAGGUUUAUGUGUGAUAGAGCGUAUUGUAUCACGGGGUUUGGAUGCACCGGCGAAGUUUGCACCAACUCUCGAGGUGAGAAAGGGCAAUGCACGGUACCGAAGAGGCUAGCAAAGGCAAAAAGGUAAAAGUGCUUAUAAUGCAUGGACUCAACAUUAGUCAAAAGAACUCAUAUACUUAUUGCAAAAAUUUAGAAGUCAUCAAAAAAUCAAGUACUACGCGCAUGCUCCUAGGGGGAUAGAUUGGUAGGAAAAGACCAUCGCUCGUCCCCGACCGCCACUCAUAAGGAUGCACAAGCCAAGUACACUUCAUGUUUCAAAUUUGUUACACAACUUUAACCAUACAUGCAUGCUACAGGACUUGCUAACUUCAACACAAGCAUUCUAUAAAUUCAUAAUCACUCAACUAGCAUGACUUUAAUAUCACUAGCUCCAUAUCUCAAAACAAUUAUCAAGUAUCAAGUUGAUCAUAGCAUCCAAUUCACUUCCUAUGAUAGUUUUUAUUAUACCCAACUUGGAUGCUCAUCAUUCUAGGACCAACCUUAUGACCAUAGCAAAUACCAUGCUGUUCUAAAAGACUCUCAAAAUAAUAUAGGUGAAGCAUGAUAGACUAGUAAUUUCUUCAAAAUUAAGACACCACCGUGCUCUAAAAGAUAUAAGUGAAGCACUAGAGCAAAAACUAUCAAGCUCAAAAGAUAUAAGUGAAGCACAUAGAGUAUUCUAGCAAAUUCUAAUCAAACAGGCUUCUACCAAAAGGGUGUGUACAACAAGGAUUAUUGUGGUAAACUAAAAAGCAAAGACUAAUAUAAUACACGAUGCUCCAAGCAAAACACAUAUCAUGUGGCGAAUAAAAAUAUAGCUUCAAGUAAAGUUACCAAUGAACAAAGACGAAAGGGGGGAUGCCUUCCCGGGGCAUCCCCAAGCUUAGGCUUUUGGCUAUUCUUGAAUAUCUUGGGGUGCCUUGGGCAUCCCCAAGAUUAGGCUCUUGCCCCCCUUUAUUCCAUAGUCCAUAAAAGCUUUUACCCAAAACUUGAAAACUUCACAACACAAAACUCAACAGGAAAUCUUAUAAGCUCCGUUAGUGAAAGAAAACAAAACCACCACAUAAGGUACUGCAAUGAACUCAUUCUUUAUUUAAUUUAGUGUUAAACAUACUAUAUUCCAACUUCCUUAUGGUUUAUAAACUAAUUUACUAGCCAUAGAUGCAUUGAAAUAAGCAAACAACACACGAAAAACAGAAUCUGUCAAAAACAGAACAGUCUGUAGCAAUCUGUAACUAACGCAAACUUCUGGAACUCUAAAAAUCCUCCCAAAAUAGGAAGUCCUAGAAAAUUUGUUUAUUGAACAUAACCAAAAAGAAUCAACGAAAAAUCACGUUCCUGUGAUUUAAAAAAAUUAUAUUCGUGCACGCAAAGUUUCUGUUUUUCAGCAGAAUCAAAUCAACUAUCAUCAUAGGUUAUCCUAUAGGUUCUACUUGGCACAAACACUAAAUAAAAGAUAAAAACACAUCUAAACAGAAGGUAGAUGCAAGAUUUAUUGCUAAACAGGAGCAAAAACAAAAAACAUAAAGAAAAUUGGGUUGCCUCCCAACUAACGCUAUCGUUUAACGCCCCUAGCUAGGCAUAAAAGCGAAGAUAGAUCUAACGAGCGCCAUCUUUGGCACUAAAUUCAUAAGUAGUGAGAUUAUGAUCUUUAGGGAUCUCUCCCUUUUUAGUAAUGGCUAAACCUUUAGGCAAAAAUUCAAGAAAUUCAUUGGUAGCAAAAGUUUCCUUAAUGAUAGAGAGACAAUUGGGGAGAACACAUAUGGAUUUGAGAUCCGCAUCUCCCUUAGAAGAUUCACCCUUAUUUUUAGGAACAUAAAUAAACUUGGCAGUUUUAGUAGGGGUUUUUGGAGUGUUUUUCAUGGGGGAAAAUGCGAAACUUAAGUUUGUAACGACAUCCUCAAGUUUACCGAUUCUAGCCGAGUCUAGAUCUAUUUUUUCAUUGACUAUAGGUUCUUUUUCUUUAAGAUUUUUCAAAGUAGCUCCAACCCUAGAUCCAAAUUGGGUAAUGUGAUUAUGAAUCUUUUUAUCCAAAUUUUCAAUCAACUCAACAGUGGCAAUUUUAUUUUCGAUAAUAUCAAGCCGUUGCAUCACAUGUUCUAGAGUUAAAACCGUUCCAUUAACCAAAAGAGGUGGUGGGCCAAACAAAUCUAACAUAGCAUUAUAAGCAUCAAACGUAUGGCUACUCAUAAAAUCACCUCCGGUAGCAAUAUCAAGAACACAUCUAUUCCAAGGAGUAAUGCCUACAUAAAAAUUGCGGAGAAGAACGGAAGUAGCAAGCUUCCUAGUAGCUUUAUAUUGGGCAUUGCAAAUUCUAUGCCAAGCAUCUUUUAAACUUUCUCUCUUCCUUUGCUUAAAAUUGAGAACUUCUUGUUCGGUAGUGAGGAUAAGGAUAGGAGGACUAGCCAUAACGACAAGGUAAACGUGCUAACACACGGCAAACGAAAAAGGCAAGAGAAAAGAGAGAAGGAGAUUGGGAAAGAGAGGGCGAAUAAAACGGCAAGGGUGAAGUGGCGGAGAGGAAAACGAGAGGCAAAUGGCAAAUAAUGUAAAUGCGAGGGAGAUGGGUUUGUGAUGGGUACUUGGUAUGUUUUGACUUGAGCGAAGACCUCCCCGGCAAUGGCGCCAGAAAUCCUUCUUGCUACGUCUUGAGCUUGCGUUGGUUUUCCUCGAAGAGGAGAGGGUGAUGCAGCAAGUGUAGCGUAAGUAUUUCCCUCAGUUUUGAGAACCAAGGUAUCAAUCCAGUAGGAGGCUCCUAAAAAGUCCCACGCACCUACACAAACAAACUGAGAACUCACAACCAACGCAAUAAAGGGGUUGUCAAUCCCUUCACGGCCACUUGCGAAAGUGAGAUCUAAUAAAUAAAAUAUGAUAAGACAAAUAUAUUUUUGGUAUUUUGUAAUAUAGAUGCAAAAAGUAAAGAUGCAAAUAAAAGUAGAUUGAAAGCAAAUAUGAUAAGAGAUAGACCCGGGGGCCAUAGGUUUCACUAGAGGCUUCUCUCAAGAUAGCAUAAGUAUUACGGUGGGUGAACAAAUUACUGUCGAGCAAUUGAUAGAAAAGCGCAUAGUUAUGAGAUUAUCUAGGCAUGAUCAUUUAUAUAGGCAUCAUGUCCAUAACAAGUAGACCGACUCCUGCCUGCAUCUACUACUAUUACUCCACACAUCGACCGACUCCUGCCUGCAUCUAGAGUAUUAAGUUCAUAAGAACAAAGUAACGCAUUAAGCAAGAUGACACGAUGUAGAGGGAUAAACUCAUGCAAUAUGAUAUAAACCCCAUAUUGUUAUCCUCGAUGGCAACAAUACAAUACGUGCCUUGCAACCCUUUUUGUCACUGGGUAAGGACACCGCAAGAUUGAACCCAAAACUAAGCAAUUCUCCCAUGGCAAGAAAGACCAAUCUAGUAGGCCAAACCAAACUGAUAAUUCGAAGAGACUUGCAAAGAUAACUCAAUCAUACAUAAAAGAAUUCAGAGAAGAUUCAAAUAUUAUUCUAAGAUAAACUUGAUCAUAAACGCACAAUUCAUCGGAUCUCGACAAACACACCGCAAAAAGAGUUUACAUCGAAUAGAUCUCCACAACAGAGGGGGAGAACAUUGUAUUGAGAUCCAAUAAGAGAGAAGAAGCCAUCUAGCUAAUAACUAUGGACCCGUAGGUCUUUGGUAAACUACUCACAACUCAUCGGAGGGGCAAUGAUGUUGAUGUAGAGGCCCUCCGUGGUCGAUUCCCCCUCCAGCAGAGUGCCAACGAAGGCUCCAAGAUGAGAUCUCGCGGAUACAGAAGGUUACGGCAGUGGAAAUUGUGUUUCAUGGUGCUCCUGGAUGUUUUCGGGGUACGUAGGUAUGUAUAGGAGGAAGAAGUACGUCGGUGGCCGCCCAAGAGGCCCAUGAGACAGGGGGGCACCCUACAGGGGGGCGCGGCCCCCUAUCUCGUGGGGUUCUCGGGAGCUUCUUGACUUGCACUCCAAGCUCUCUGGAUCACGUUCGUUCCAAAAAUCACGCUCCCGAAUUUUCAUUCCGUUUGGACUCCGUUUGACAUUCCUUUUCUUCGAAAUACUGAAAUAGGCAAAAAAAACAGCAAUAUGGGCUGGGCCUCCAGUUAGUAGAUUAGUCUCAAAAAUGAUAUAAAUGUGUAAAAUAAAGCCCAUAAACAUCCAAAAGGGGUAAUAUAAUAGCAUGGAACAAUCAAAAAAUUAUAGAUACAUUAGAGACGUAUCACUCCCCCCUACCUCCCCGUCACAUGGGGCGGACGACCCUGAGGUGUCGUCACGGAGGAUUUCUCCUGAUCCAGCAAGGCGAGAAGUUGACACAUCGGCUGUCCGGAGUCUAGAAUAUCCGGCUCCCAAAGAGAGCUUUAGGAGGAGUCCGGGAUUGUCCGGCGCAUAGCCGGGCACGCUAAUGGGCCUUCUGGAGCGAGCGGCCAUCUCAGAGACACAUCGUGCCUUGGGCACGAUAGUUGAGAGGAUUUCAUCCGUGAAAAGCGGUUUGAAUGAAGCUUUUACGAGUCUACUAAGAGGCUUUAAGGUACGCAAAAAAUGUAUUUUUGAUGGUUCCGCACAUACUAAGUGUGCUCUGUAUAGAUAGUAGCCCCUGAGACUCUGGUUGCCAUCAAAGUGGCGAACAAAGGAUCGUACUCUCUGAUAAUAAGCGCGCUGCUUUAUGUGCAGGUGGCGGAGGGUCCGACGGCCGACCGAUCUGCUGAUUUUGCGGAACUAAAGCGGCAGCUAGGCGUGGCCGAUGCCGACAUCGCGCUUGUUAACAAGUGGCUUGACGAGGCCCAGGGUAUGUAUAUUCGGCUUGUCAGCAAAUAUUUAAGAGGAGCAUGAUGCUAGUAUCUAUAAUAUGCUGUGACUGCAGAUGGAGCUGCUGCCGUGGAGAACCUUCGGGCGGAGCUUGCCCGAGCUGAGGAGCAAGCCCGGAUAAGUGAUGUGGCCUCUCUGAAGGCGGUCGAGGAGUUAAGAGCCGAACAGGCUGCUCAUCGCCGGAGCGAAGAAAAGAUAGCCCAGAUGGCUACCGAGCUGGAAGAUGCCGCGAGCCACCGUGAGCUCCUUGAAAAUGAAAAUCAAGCAAAAGAGGCUGACCUGAAGAAGGCCCUGGAGGAAGCCAACGAAACCCGCUCUGAAAUGAGGGGGAUGAGGGAGGAGCUUCGUGAAGCCAGAGAUAUCGUGGCUGGGAAGCCCUAUCUGUUGCGGAUGAAAUUCAGAGAUCCGAAAUAUGCCCCUCUGGAUUAGUUGUGGAGUGCGUCGGACUCAUAUGCGGACCUGGCAAAGAGUGCGGCUGAUGCGACCGAGUUUUUCAAAGAUCAGAAAGACCAUAAGGCUGAGAGGUUAUUCUAGUCGCAGUUCAGUGCCCCAACGCGUCCGCUGCCAUUGAAUGAAAAGAUGGCCGCAUGGGCCGAACUCCACUGGUUGUCCGAGCUUGCUAUGAGGUCUAUCGUGGAUCAUCUUUGGCCACAAGGACCAAGGCCGGACAAUCAUUUUGGAUUGGUGCAACAAUUCCUUGGUGUUGUGUCGCAUAUCGAUGCCGUGAAGAGGUCGGCAUGCAUAGAGGGUGCGCAGAUGGCUCUUGCCUAUGUUAAAACAUACUGGGCUAGGAUGGAACCCACCGCUGUUGCAACCCGGAGUGCGACGGAAGGCCAGGACCGGGCUGAGCACUAUUUCAAAGAAGUCUUAGAAGGCGCCCGUUUAAUAGAGGCUCAGUGCUCGAAGAAUGCCAUGUUCAAAUGACAUGUAUCGCGGUUGUAAAGACAAUGCUAUUUUGAUUAUAAAGGUUGUGUUUAUACUUUUGCCCGAAAUUAUUAUAACGCCCCUGUGCGGCCGUUUAUGUAUAUAUAUAACCUGAAAGUUUGCAGUCGUCGGCUUCAGCCCCCACGCAUAUAAUGCGAGGGUGUUCGAGAAAACACGUAGUCACACUUGAUCCAACGUCUUGGUCCGUUAAGGAGGUGAUAGCGCGGCGAACCAGGCAAUCGGACUAUAUAGCUUUAACACUUUCACUUAGCCAUAGGAGUUUGACGGUGGGGCUACUAUAUAGCCCAUGGUACUUUCGCGUUCAACCGGAUGUGGUGCGCGUAUCUACGUGACCGGGAAAUCGGUCCUUCGUUGAUGCGGAGGAAUCGCGAAGAUUCCGCUUGGUCAUCGAGUGGUUGACCAGUCUCGCGUUGUAUCAUGACAGUCAGUUUUUGGCUUUCUCUACUGAGGUGCUCGUCCAGGUGAACUGGGGCACAAUCGCAGUAGUUCUCCCGGUGCCGCCUUAGCCGAUAGAAUGGAACGUAAGGUAGCAAAACACGGGAGCCGAGCAAACCCAAAAUUUGACCAAAGACAUGAUUCGAAGCUGAUGCAUAUAAGGCCAAACUCGCGACGCCGAACACUCCCUAAGGUAUUUGGAGUUUUUAAUGUGUACCGGGCUAAAUAAUGCCCUUGACAAUAAACCCUGAGUUUCCAGGUAUGAGCAGUAGUCUGGUGUGACAAAAAUGCCGAAAACGCCAGUAUCCCUCCCGUUAUAUAAAGUUUCCGGAGGGGAAGAAGCAACAAGAGACAUUAAAAAGGUUUACGCAGGGUCUUAAUCUAAAAAAUAACCUUUGAUCGGGGACCCUGCUGCACGUGUGCGCCUUUAUCUCCGUUGUGCCAUAUCUUGGAAGGGUGUAGCACGAUGAUCAUCUGUAAAAGAAAAGAAAAACCCCAGGUGAAAGACUUCGUGCGAGGUGUUAAUCUGAAUGAACCAUGAAAAUGUAAUAUGCUAUUGUAUUGAUAGGGUCGAGCCAAACUAUGGGCUCUUUUUGCGAGCAGCCCCUAGCAUUUUUUAUGGGGAAAUCCCAUCUGGGCUGUUACAUUGGGUGGAUCGCCGGACUCGUCUAACCAUGUCCGUGGUCUUGACGACCGUCCAUUAAUCCUGGUUCAAUGGACCACUCAGUGUUCGGCUGCUAGAGCCGCCAUGUGUUCUUCCGCGCGUAAGGAACGCUCUAUAUUUUCGCUAGCUGUGAUGACGCCGCAUGGACCGGGCAUCUUAAGCUUGAGGUAGGCGUAAUGCGGUACUGCAUUAAAAUGAGCGAAGGCCGUUCGUUCGAGUAGUGCGUGAUAGCCACUUCGGAAUGGAGUGAUGUCGAAGGUUAACUCCUCGCUUCUGAAGUUGUCGGGAGAACCGAAUACAACCUCUAGUACUAGAGAGCCCGUACAGCGGGCCUCGAUGCCUGGUAUCACUCCUUUGAAGGUAGUGUUACUUAGGCUGAUCCUUGAAGGGUCUAUCCCCAUUUUGCGGAUAGUGUCCUGAUAUAUUAGGUUUAGACUACUGCCGCCAUCCAUAAGGACUCAUGUGAGAUGGUAUCCGUCAAUUAUUGGGUCGAGCACCAAGGCAGCUGAUCUUCCGUGCCGGAUACUAGUCAGAUGGUCCCUGCGUCAAAGGUGAUCGGGCAGGCCGACCAGGGGUUAAAUUUGGGGGAGACGGGCUCAACAGCGUAUACGUCUCGAAGUGCGCGUUUGCGUGUUCUCUUUGGAAUGUGAGUUACGUAAAUCAUGUUCACUGUUUUGACUUCUGGUGGGAAUUUUUUCUGUCCUCUAGUGUUCGGCUGGCGAGGCUCAUCCUCGUCUUUGAAGGAAAUAUGCCCUAGAGGCAAUAAUAAAGUUAUUAUUUAUUUCCUCAUAUCAUGAUAAAUGUUUAUUAUUCAUGCUAGAAUUGUAUUAACCGGAAACAUGAUACAUGUGUGAAUACAUAGACAAACAUAUAGUCACUAGUAUGCCUCUACUUGACUAGCUCAUUAAUCAAAGAUGGUUAUGUUUCCUAACCAUAGACAUGUGUUGUCAUUUGAUUAAUGGGAUCACAUCAUUAGGAGAAUGAUGUGAUUGACAUGACCCAUUCUGUUAGCCUAGCACUUGAUCGUUUAGUAUAUUGCUAUUGCUUUCUUCAUGACUUAUACAUGUUCCUGUAACUAUGAGAAUUAUGCAACUCCGGUUUACCGGAGGAACACUUUGGGUACUACCAAACGUCACAACGUAACUGGGUGAUUAUAAAGGAGUACUACAGGUGUCUCCGAAGGUACAUGUUGAGUUGGCGUUUUUCGAGAUUAGGUUUUGUCACUCCGAUUGUCGGAGAGGUAUCUCUGGGCCCUCUUGGUAAUGCACAUCACUAUAAGCCUUGCAAGCAAUGUAGCUAAUGAGUUAGUUACGGAAUGAUGUAUUACGUAACGAGUAAAGAGACUUGCCGAUAACGAGAUUGAACUAGGUAUUGGAUACCGAUGAUCAAAUCUCGGGCAAGUAACAUACCGAUGACAAAGGGAACAACGUAUGUUGUUAUGCGGUUUGACCGAUAAAGAUCUUCGUAGAAUAUGUGGGAGCCAAUAUGGGCAUCCAGGUCCCGCUAUUGGUUAUUGACCGAAAACAAGUUCUAGGUCAUGUCUACAUAGUUCUCGAACCCGUAGGGUCCGCACGCUUAACGUUUCAUUGACGAUAUAGUAUUAUAUGAGUUAUGUAUGUUGGUAACCGAAUGUUGUUCGGAGUCACGGAUAAGAUCAUGGACAUGACGAGGAACUCCGGAAAGGUCCAGAGAUAAAGUUUGAUAUAUGGGAUAAUAGUGUUUGAUCUCCGGAAGAGUUCCGGAAUUCACCGGAAGGGGUUCCGGAUGUUUCCCGAAAUGUUUGGGAACGAGAACACGUUAUUUGGGCCAAAGGGGAAAGCCCACAAGGUUUUUGGAAAGUGCAAAAGGAAGUUUUGCGGAGUCCAGGGGCCAGACGCCAGGGUCCCUGGCGUCUGGGUCCAUACGCCGGGAACCCUGGCGUCUGGCCCUGGAGUCCGAGAAGGACUCUUGCCUUUCGGGUAAAACCUACUUUGUGGAGGCUUUUACUCCAAGUUUCGACCCCAAGGCUCAACAUAUAAAUAGAGGGGCAUGGCUAGCACCAAACACACAUCAAGAAACACCAAGCCGUGUGCCGGCAACCCCGUCCCCUCUAGUUUAUCCUCCAUCAUAGUUUCCGUAGUGCUUAGGCGAAGCCCUGCAGAGAUUGUUCUUCACCAACACCGUCACCACGCCGUCGUGCUGCCUACUACUUCGCCCGUCUUGCUGGAUCGAGAAGGCGAGGAUGUCAUCGAGAUGAACGUGUGCAGAACUCGGAGGUGCCGUGCGUUCGGUACUUGGAUCAGUCGGAUCGUGAAGACGUACGACUACAUCAACCGCGUUGAUAAACGCUUCCGCUUGGCGAUCUUCAAGGAUAUGAAGAUACACUCCUGCUCUCGUUGCUAUGCAUCACCAUGAUCUUGUGUGUGCGUUGGAUUUUUUUUUGAAAUUACUACGUUCCCCAGCAGUGGUAUCAGAGCCUAGGUUUUAUGUGUAGAUGUCAUAUGCACGAGUAGAACACAAGUGAGUUGUGCGCGAUACAAGUCAUACUGCUUACCAGCAUGUCAUACUUUGGCUCAGCGGUAUUGUGAGAUGAAGCGGCCCGGACUGACAUUACGCGUACGCUUACGCGAGACUGGUUUCACCGUUACGAGCACUCGUGCUUAAAGGUGACUGGCGGGUUCUGUCUCUCUCACUUUAGCUGAAUCGAGUGUGGCUACGCCCGGUCCUUGCGAAGGUUAAAAUAGCAUUAACUUGAUGAACUAUCAUUGUGGUUUUGAUGCGUAGGUAAGAACGGUUCUUGCUAAGCCCGUAGCAGCCACGUAAAAUUUGCAACAACAAAGUAGAGGACGUCUAACUUGUUUUUGCAGGGCAUGUUGUGAUGUGAUAUGGUCAAGACGUGAUGCUAUAUUUUAUUGUAUGAGAUGAUCAUGUUUUGUAACCGAAGUUAUCGGCAACUGGCUGGAGCCAUAUGGUUGUCGCUUUAUUGUAUGAAAUGCAAAUGCCCUGUAAUUGCUUUACUUUAUCUCUAAGCGGUAGCGAUAGUCGUAGAAGCAAUAGAUGGUGUAACGACAGCGAUGCUACGAUGGAGAUCAAGGUGUCGCGCCGGUGACGGUGGUGAUCACAACGGUGCUUUGAAGAUGGAGAUCACAAGCACAAGAUGAUGAUGGCCAUAUCAUAUCACUUAUAUUGAUUGCAUGUGAUGUUUAUCCUUUAUGCAUCUUAUCUUGCUUUGAUUGACGGUAGCAUUUUAAGAUGAUCUCUCACUAAUAAUCAAGAAGUGUUCUCCCUGAGUAUGCACCGUUGCGAAAGUUCUUCGUGCCGAGACACCAUGUGAUGAUCGGGUGUGAUAGGCUCUACGUUCAAAUACAACGGGUGCAAAACAGUUGCACACGCAGAAUACUCAGGUCAUACUUGACGAGCUUAGCAUAUACAGAUAUGGCCUCGGAACACGGAGACCGAAAGGUCGAACGUGAAUCAUAUAGUAGAUAUGAUCAACAUAGUGAUGUUCACCAUUGAAACUACUCCAUCUCACGUGAUGAUCGGACAUGGUUUAGUUGAUUUGGAUCACGUGAUCACUUAGAUGACUAGAGAGAUGUCUGUCUAAGUGGGAGUUCUUAAGUAAUAUGAUUAAUUGAACUUAAAUUUAUCAUGAACUUAGUACCUGAUAGUAUCUUGCUUGUCUAUGUUUGUUUGUAGAUAGAUGGCUCAUGUUGUUGUUCCGUUGAAUUUUAAUGCGUUCCUUGAGAAAGCAAAGUUGAAAGAUGAUGGUAGCAAUUACACAGACUAGGUCCGUAACCUGAGGAUUAUCCUCAUUGCUGCACAGAAAAGUUACGUCCUGGAAGCACCGCUGGGUGCCAGGCCUGCUGCUGAUGCAAUUGACGACGUUAAGAAUGACUGGCAGAGCAAAGCUAAUGACUACUCGAUAGUUCAGUGUGCCAUGCUUUAUGGCUUGGAACCGGGUCUUCAACGACGUUUUGAACAUCAUGGAGCAUAUGAGAUGUUCCAGGAGUUGAAGUUAAUAUUUCAAGCAAAUGCCCGAAUUGAGAGAUAUGAAGUCUCCAAUAAGUUCUAUAGCUGCAAGAUGGAGGGGAAUAGUUCUGUCAGUGAACAUAUACUCAAAAUGUCUGGGUAUAAUAAUCACUUGAUUCAACUGGGAGUUAAUCUUCCUGAUGAUAGUGUCAUUGACAGAAUUCUUCAAUCACUGCCACCAAGCUACAAGAGCUUCGUGAUGAACUAUAAUAUGCAAGGGAUGAACAAGACUAUUCCCGAGCUCUUCGCAAUGCUAAAAGCCGUGGAAGUAGAAAUCAAAAAGGAUCAUCAAGUGUUGAUGGUUAACAAGACCACCAGUUUCAAGAAAAAGGGCAAAGGGAAGAAGAAGGUGAACUUCAAAAAGAACAACAAGCAAGUUGCUUCUCAAGACAUGUCCACCCUCGCCGUCCGCCACGUGGCCCGCGCCGCCGACCGCAGCGGGCCCCGUGGCCCAGAUCCGCCGCCGCCCGGACCCAGCCGCAUCGCACCGCGCCGGCCACCGCGCGCCACCNNNNNNNNNNNNNNNNNNNNNNNNNNNNNNNNNNNNNNNNNNNNNNNNNNNNNNNNNNNNNNNNNNNNNNNNNNNNNNNNNNNNNNNNNNNNNNNNNNNNNNNNNNNNNNNNNNNNNNNNNNNNNNNNNNNNNNNNNNNNNNNNNNNNNNNNNNNNNNNNNNNNNNNNNNNNNNNNNNNNNNNNNNNNNNNNNNNNNNNNNNNNNNNNNNNNNNNNNNNNNNNNNNNNNNNNNNNNNNNNNNNNNNNNNNNNNNNNNNNNNNNNNNNNNNNNNNNNNNNNNNNNNNNNNNNNNNNNNNNNNNNNNNNNNNNNNNNNNNNNNNNNNNNNNNNNNNNNNNNNNNNNNNNNNNNNNNNNNNNNNNNNNNNNNNNNNNNNNNNNNNNNNNNNNNNNNNNNNNNNNNNNNNNNNNNNNNNNNNNNNNNNNNNNNNNNNNNNNNNNNNNNNNNNNNNNNNNNNNNNNNNNNNNNNNNNNNNNNNNNNNNNNNNNNNNNNNNNNNNNNNGUCGCCGGAGCUCCUCCGCCGCCCGGCCGCGCCCGCGUCGCCCCGAACGUCGCCGGCCAUCCUCCGGCCAGAUCCGGACCGGCGCCGCCCGGAUCCGGUCACCCCGGCCUCCCCAGUGCCUCCUCCCACCGCUACCGGCCCCAUCCGCUCCGGCGAGGUCCGCCUGACCUCGGGAGUCGCGCCCGAACCCUAGAUCCAAAACGGAGGUUGACUUUCCCUCCCUCGCUUUUCUCUGUCCCUGAGUUUUCAUCAUAUGUUGCCCUGUUCAUAGCAUCAUAACUUGUUGCAUACUGCUCCGCUUCAUACGUGUAAUAUGUCAAAUUGUUCGUCUCGACGAGUACUUCAUUUCGUUCCAUUGCAUCAUGUUCAUUUGAGUCCAUCUUGAUGCCUGAAUCAUCGUUGCAAGAGUGCUAUAUGAUGUUAAUCUGCUGAAACUGUUAUAACUUGAUGAUUUGUCAUUUUUGUCGCAUUUGAUGUGUGCAUCCUAUGAGCAUGAGCUAUACAUGUGUUUUGAACUGUGUCAUGCCAUAUUCACACUGGUGCUAUCCAUGUGUUUUUGUGGGUCAUGUACUGAGUGCAUCGAGCUCGUGAAGUAGGGUACUUGUUGUUGCUGUUUUGCUAGGCUGAUUCUAUUAUAUUUUGUUGCUAUGUAAACCUGCUGCUACAAGUCAUUCUAUGCAUAAUAUGGAGUUGUUCACUAAGGAUGUUUUGUUAUACAUGUCAUGCUCUAUCCAUCCAUGCCCUUGGUUGCAUUUAUAGCCUGAUUUAGUUUGUUGUUAUCUUGCCCUCAAAACUGCUAAAUAAUGUUGCUGUCAGCCUCUUAACAUUAAGUUCAAUGUUGCCAUGAUUGUUGUUAGUGAUCCAAGCAUGCUAUGAACUUGCUAUUGCCAUUCUUAGCUUCAUAAACAUGUAUUCUUACUGUUGGUUGCCUUGCCAUGCCAUGUAUUGCUCUGUGGUGAGUUGUUCAAGCUCACCAACAUGCCUACUUAUUGUUGUUCCUGCCAUGUCUGAAUCUGUCAUAUCAAUUGCUAUGUUUACAUGGGUGCCAUCAUAUUUUCUGUGCCCUUUUGGCUCAUGGUCAGUAAGGGACUUUUGUUAUAUGCAAUUAUUAGAUUCAUGCCAUGCCUUUGUUUGCCAUGAUAAGUUCCUGUAACAUGUUGUUUGAUAGCUCUAAACAUUGCAACCUGAUGUUAUUUCUGCUAAUUCUGAAACUGUUAUUAUUUGCAAUCUUGCCAUGUCCUUUUGAGCAUGUUCUAGUGAUUUCUGGAGAUAGCUCAGUGUUCAUGUUUUGCCAUGCUUUACCUGUACUUCAUGCCCAUGCCUUUUGUUCUUUCGUUGGGAUGCUGUAGCCUAUUGUUUUGAUGCUCGUGAUAUGCCUAGUUGCUGUUUUGGACAACUUGUCCUUUAAACUUGUAUAGAGUGUAUGUGUUGAACCGUUGCUCCGUUUUGAGUGUGCUCUAUAUGUAACUUGCUUGAUUUUGCAUGUAGUUUCAUAUUAUCAUGUUGCAUCCAUGUUUGAGAGUGAUUGCUUGAUGUUUGUAUGCAUUUUGCAUCAAUGCCAUGUUUAACUUGUUUUGUUCAUAUCUUCUAGGCCGUAGCUCCGAAUUAAAUGAACUUUAUAUGUAACUUGACUAGAAUUUCGUGUAGAUUCUCUUGGUGAUCUUUAACUUUAUGUUUAACAACUUGAACAUAAGGUUUAUUCAGAUCUGGACCAACUUUGAAACUUGCAUAUGAGGACUUACCGGAAGUUGUUAUAUGUUGUUUCCGGCCUCAUUUAAACUUGCGUUGAUGUGUUGUUCUUGUUUGCAACAUCUCUUGCCAUGAGUAGCUUCAUGUAGCUUUGCCAUGCAUCAUGCUUGGUUGUGCAUCAUCUCUUGUCUAUGUGUGGUGUGUUUACCAUGUUGUGUGCUUCUUCUCGAUAGUUUUCGUUUCGUUGCAAUCGGGAGGAUUCGUUCAUCUACGCUUGGUUCGGCUUCCUCCGUUCAUCUUCUUCUUGGACUCGUUCUUCUUCCUAGCGGGAUUUCAGGCAAGAUGACCGCUACCCUGGAUCUCACUACUAUCAUUGCUAUGCUAGUUGCUUCGUUCUAUCGCUAUGCUGCGCUACCUAUCUUGUUCUUCAAGCCUUCCCAAAUUGCCAUGUCAGCCCUAAUCUUUUUCACCCUUCCUAGCAAACCGUUGCUUGGCUAUGUUACCGCUUUGCUCAACCCCUCUUAUAGCGUUGUUAGUUGCAGGUGAAGUUGAAGAUUGCUCCAUGGUGGACAGGAUUAUGUUGGGAUACCACAAUAUCUCUUAUAUUAUUAAUGCAUCUAUACACUUGGUAAAGGGUGGAAGACUCGGCCUUAUGCCUGGUGUUUUGUUCCACUCUUGCCGCCCUAGUUUCCGUCAUACCGGUGUUAUGUUCCCAGAUUUUGCGUUCCUUACGCGGUUGGGUGAUUUAUGGGACCCCCUUGACAGUUCGCUUUGAAUAAAACUCCUCCUGCAAGGCCCAACCUUGGUUUUACCAUUUGCCUCACCUAGCCCUUUUUCCCUUGGGUUUCCGGAGCUCGAGGGUCAUCUUUAUUUACCCCCCCCCCCGGGCCAGUGCUCGUCGUGAGUGUUGGUCCAACCUGUCAGCCGCCGGUGGCCACCAGGGGCAACUCUGGGAUGGCCUACCGGAAGUUUGAACAAUCCGGUGUGCCCUGAGAACGACAUAUGUGCAGCUCCUAUCAGGAUUUGUCGGCACAUUCAGGCGGCUUUGCUGGUCUUGUUUUACCAUUGUCGAAAUGUCUUGUAAACUGGGAUUCCGAGACUGAUCGGGUCUUCUUGGGAGAAGGUAUAUCCUUCGUUGAUCGCGAGAGCUUAUCAUGGGCUAAGUUGGGACACCCCUGUAGGGUAUUAUCGUUCAAAAGUCGUGCCCAUGGUUAUGUGGCAGAUGGGAAUUUGUUAAUGUCCGGUUGUAGAUAACUUGACACCAGAUCCGAAUUAAUACGCAUCAACCGUGUGUGUAGCCGUGAUGGUCUCUUUUCGGCGGAGUCCAGGAAGUGAACACGGUCUUUGGGUUAUGUUUGACGUAAGUAGGAGUUCAGGAUCACUUCUUGAUCAUUGCUAGCUUCAUGAUCGUUCCUUUGCUUCUCUUCUCGCUCUUAUUUGUGUAUGUUAGCCACUAUACUUGCUUAGCCGCUGCUGCAACCUCACCACUUUACCCCUUCCUUUCCCAUUAAGCUUUGCUAGUCUUGAUACCCAUGGUAAUGGGAUUGCUGAGUCCUCGUGGCUCACAGAUCACUAUAACAACAGUUGCAGGUACAGGUUUAUGCGAUGAUCAUGACGCGAGAGCGAUGUUUGCCUGUUUUGGAGUUCUUCUUCUGCUUGUUCUUCGAUCAGGGGAUAGGUUCCAGGUCGGCAGCCUGGGCUAGCAGGGUGGAUGUCAUUUGAGUUUCUGUUUGUGUUUCAUCCAUAGUCGGAUGGUGCUCUUAUGUAAGAUGAUGUUGUAUUCGUGUGGCAUUGUAUGCCUUAUAUGUAUCCCCAUCUAUUAUGUAAUGUUGAUGUAAUGAUAUCCACCUUGCAAAAGCGUCUUCAAGAUGCGCUUCUAUCCUUGGUAGGACCUUCGAGUUCCUUUAGGAUAGGGUCGCAUCUUGGGCGUGACACUGGGUCCAUGGGGUCGUCGUUUCCUUUGGAAUCAACCGGGGUAUUAUUAUUUCUUGCGUUGUUGUUGUUGUUGUUUUUACUGUGGCGGGAUUUAGAGCGGCGUCUACGGCGCCGCUUUGGUGGCUUAUCAAGGGGAUUGCCCUUCGUUGUAUCGUCACCAUCGCCUUCUUUUGGUGUGUCCACCAUAUAUAUAUCAUAUGAUGAGGUGGUAGUCCAGCGCCCAGUGGGCGGUGGUUCCCGUUCUUCUCCUACGUCAUCGUAAAUACCAUCGAAGUCUCCGGAGUCGAAAUCGAGCGUGUCGGUUAAGUCAUCGACAGUGGCUAUGAAGUGGGUGGUGGGUGGGAACAAAUUUCUUCGUCGUCCGCUUCCCACUCGAGCCGAACAUAAUUCGGCCAGGAAUCUCUUGACAAGGAAAGAGACCUUAAUGAGUUCAGCACAUCACCUAAGGGCGAGUGCCGAAAAAUAUCCGCGGCAGUGAACUCCAUGACCGGUGCCCAAUCAGAUUCGACAGGAACGAAUGCACGCGGUUCGGAUCCUGUAGCCGGAGACAAGUCCGAGGGUCCGAUGACACCACUCUCACGGGAGGUGGGAUCAGUAUUCGGCUCUGACGCCGAUGAGUGUGUGGCCUCCAUGGCGGGGUCCAUCCACCCGUCCUUGAAAGGCACGAUCUGCUCCGGAUUGAUUCUCGGCGCCAACGCAGGUGUGAUCUCCCGAGUACUGUCCGACGAUAGAUCAAAGUCAUGUCCGUCGUGACUAUUCGGCGCACCUGUCAUGGGCUCAAAUUCGUCGAAGAUCAAGUCUCUGCGGAUGUCGGCAGUAUAGUUUAAGCUUCCAAACCUGACCUGAUGGCCAGGGGCAUAGCUAUCGAUCUGCUCCAGAUGGCCAAGCGAGUUGGCCCGCAGUACGAAGCCGCCGAAUACAAAGAUCUUUUCGGGAAGGAAAACCUCCCCCUGGACCGCAUCGUGUAAGAUGAUCGAGGGAGCCAUCAAGCCCUAUCACGACGAAACAGUGGAACACUCAAUGAAAGCACCAAUGUCGGUGUCAAAACCGGCGGAUCUUGGGUAGGGGGUCCCGAACUGUGCGUCUAAGGCUAAUGGUAGCAGGAGGCAGGGGACAUGAUGCUUUACCCAGGUUCGGGCCCUCUCGAUGGAGGCAAUACCCUACUUCCUGCUUGAUUGAUCUUGAUGAUAUGAGUAUUACAAGAGUUGAUCUAGCACGAGAUCGUAGAGGCUAAACCCUAGAAGCUAGCCUAUGAUUAUAAUUGUUUUUUGUCCUACGGACUAAACCCUCCAGUUUAUAUAGACACUGGAGGGGGCUAGGGUUACACAGAGUCGGUUACAGAGAAGGAAAUCUACAUAGCCUAAUAUCCAACUUUGCCUUCCACGCAAAGGAGAGUCCCACCCGGACACGGGACGAAGUCUUCAAUCUUGUAUCUUCAUAAUCCAAUAGUCCGGCCAAAGUAUAUAGUCCGGUUGUUCGAGGACCCCUUAAUCCAGGACUCCCUCACCUGUGCGUGAUAGAUCUAUCAGGAUGCAUCCAUGGAUGAUGAAGGGGAACCAUGUGUUUGGUAAGCAAACCUAACUAGAUUAGUAGAUCAAUUGUUGUUUGUCGGAGGAAGGGAGAGACAUAACUAAUGAGGUAGAUUGAUCGACGUGUGGGGAAAACAAGAUAUAAGGACCUAGCUAGCUGUAUGUAUAGCGGGAGAUCGGUCGGUGUACGUCCAUUUGUUAGAGGCAAAUAAGGCCCAGCGAGACGGAUAGACAGAGAGAAUGGAGCUAGGAGGUGGUACGAGAGGCCUAACUACUAGCUAUAUAGGGGGAGGAGUGUGCGGUUGUGAGAUUGAUGAAAAGAGGGGCAAGAGUUUACACGUGUGGGGGACCAUAUGAGAGACACUAGGCAAGGACACAUAAAGGAGGAGAUUGAAGGUGCGUGUGUAUGUUGUAGGCAAACAUCACUGGAGAGGUUUAUCGAUCAGUGUGUGUUGGAAAGGACUUGUGGAGACUGUGGGAGAACGACCUAAAUAAAAAAAAUGAAUGUGCGCAAUGGAUAGAAUGCUGAGGGAGGGGGAGGGCGAGGAGGGCAUGUGCAUGCACGAGAGGAAGUUAUUGUAGCUACAAAGAUUAGAGGAUUGUGUGGGUGUAAGAGACUAACAAAGAUCAUAAUAUGAUAAGAAAGUGGAUUCAUAUAUUUGAAUAGGAGAUCAUAGUGUUAUAAACAUAUGCAUGCAUGAAUAUAGCGGUGAUAUGCGUGUUGUGGUUUUGCACAUGUUAUACCAUAAUGUGAUAAUGCAUGGUGUUUGCAACUCACAGCUAAAUGUCGAACAAUCUAAACCAUACUAUACAUCAAACAAUCUCAUAUUUUAUUUGAAUUCGUGAUAAUGUGUGGCAUUUGCAGCUUACAACUAAAUAUCGAACAAUCUAAACAAUACUAUAUAUCGAACAUUCUCACAUUUUAUUUGAAUUUGUGGUAAUGUGUUGUGUUUGCAACUCACAUCUAAAUACUUGUAGGCGUAGGGGGCGGGGCACCAUACAUAAUGUGAUAAACACAUUAUACAUAUGAGACAUGGUUUAGAUUAUGAAGAUCUAGCUAGAGCUUGAAAUGUACCGUGAUUUGAAAUCAACAUAAAGUGGAUUCAAAAAAUCGAGUUCGAGUUCAUAUAAUACACAUUGUUUAUAUGUAACUCGAGACUAAUCAUGUGGUGUGAUGUGAAGAUAAUACACAAACGAUGGUUUAACUUGACAAUAAUUAUGAUUGUAGAUCUUAUUAAAAUAGAGAAAUGAAUUCAAAUGCUUUGAUUUGACAACAAUCAUUAUUGUAGAUCUUAUUCAAAUAUAGAAACGAAUUCAUAUUUAGUUCAUAUUGAAGCGGUAGUAUAUACGUUUGGAAUGCACUAAAACGUUCAUUUGAGUAGUAGGUUGCAUGCAUUAUGCACGUAGCAAAAUAUUUUAAUUGAACAUAACAUGAAUUCAAAGUUUUGAAUGACAUUUGUAGCGCGAAUUGAUUUGGUACAAUACACGUUAGGCUUGUCCGGAAAUUUCAACCCGCGCCAUGUUAGCCCGAAAUAUUUAAGAUAUAUCUUUGUCUUGUUGUGCUCCGACAACACCCUCCAUCUCAACCCGCGCCUUGCUAUUCCAAAAUUACAACGCGCGCGAAAACUCCCACCUCCUGUGAAAUCCCGACACGCGAAAUGCCUGUGAUACCCCUUAACCGAAAGAACCGUCUCAAAUCGGUGGGGGUACUUUCGUAACUUACCCCACAUUUCGGACAAGCGCGUCCCUAAGCCAUGGUUCCCCACUCCCAUCCCAUCCGCCCACCCAUUCAUAAAUCGAGGCCGCGAAAACCCGCGGAGCCCCACACCCUCCUCCGUCCGCCACCCAGCCGAAGCCUCUUCCCCGACGACGUCGUCCACAACAACACCUCGACAUCCCUUAUCCAUCGUAGCGGAUGAGGAUCUGUCGUCAAUCUGGUCGUCCCGCCGGUUCAGCCACCCCAUCCUCCACCUCCAAGGAGCUGCCCCGAUCUUCCCCUCAUCUGUCGCGCCACCUCCAUUCCGACACCGCCCUCUUCACCUGCACCACUAGAAGAGCAUCAUCAUCACCGUUUCCUCGGAUGAAGCUACUGCCUAAUUGGCGCCACCAAAGAGGUUGUACACUAAUCGCCGCAUUUUCUUCUUGAUUUGAUCUCACGAUGCUGCCGGCGCUCGGUUCUAAGCCGACAGGGCGCGACUCUAUCCACGGUGCCGUUGCCGACCACUUCCUCCAUGGUGUCGAUCCCUCGGCGGCGACCUCCACAUCAGUAGGAGCUGCUGCUGCUUUAGCUCUCACUCGUGCUGCUUCUCUGCUCUUGCUCUCGGUCCCCUGCCUGGUCUGCUCUUGCUAUUGCUCUUGAUCGCACUGCUGCUCUCGCUCUUGCUCUUGCUUGCGAUGCUGCUCCGAUUUAGCUACACUUCAGUCGACUGAAUUGACUUUUGGGUCAGUCAAUUUUCAGGGGUUGGGGGGGCUCGCCGGAGUUAAGGAAGAACCAGCCGCAACGGGGAGGGGGAUCGCCGUAGAGGUACCCCACUAUCUAUCUUAGGGUUCAGGGUGGGGGUGGUGGUCGCCGGUGGUGGUGGGGCGUUGGCGUGGGAAUCGCCAGAGAAAAAUCUCGGCAUGGGGGGGGGCUAGAGGGAUGGCCUGGGCAGCGGCGGACCGGCGGUGGGGAGUGUUUCGGGGCGGGCGGGGCUGCGCACCGCCGGCCGUAGGUGGCGGGGGGCGACUGUUUGGCCGGUGGGGGCUGGCGGCUCACAGGGGUGGAGGUUGAAGAUGAACUGUAGGCCCUUGAUUUCGUAUCCAACGGCUGCAAAACCGACUGACCAGAGAUGAAACAGUCAGUCGACUGACGUGUAUCCUCACCUCUAGUGCGUUCAGUUUCGACAGUAAAAUUCAGUUUCGACAGCAAAAUUCAGUUUCGACAGUUAAGUUCGGUUUCGACAGUUAAAUUCAGUUUCGACAGUUAAGUUCAGAGAUGAGCGGCUGAUAUAUUUUUCAUCUAGCACUUUGUGGUUAUGUAUUUUAUGUCAUCUAUUAGAGAUGCUAUUAGAAUUUCACUUAGGUUAACGUUGUCUCUCUUGUCCUGUUUCAGCCCCGGCGUCGUACAACUCACCGGAGCUGCUCCAACGACGAAAAUCUCCAUCACAACAGAGACUUACCUUGGGCUCCAUCUCCAGACGCCUAAGAUCUUCUUCCCCUCCUCCGACAGCCAAGUCAGUUGGAGCAUCCUCACCGGCCAACCCAAUCACGCUGAGAUCAACAUGGCUUCGCCAAAGAGGUUUUACACUUGUCGCAUCUCUUUUUUACUCUACAUGUUAUAUAUAUUAUCCACUGAGCACACGUAGUAACGUGAAAUACGAUUAUUUUAUCCUACUAUAUGACAAGCAGUGAGGUACCAGGCAACUUAGCUAUCCGUGAUGGACUCUCUUGAAUGCCAUCAUUAUUUAUCUCUGCGCGUUUGAGCUGUGCAUUUGUUGAUGGGCCUGGGAGUUGAUCUAGUAGGGCAGUGGCCUGGGUCCAAAGUAAUAGAAGUAGCACAAAACAAUUUUUUAGUGUAGGCUUUUCCUUGCUCAAGCCUGCCUACUAGAAUCGCCAGUGCUUGAAAGGAAAAGUGAAUGAAAAACAUAGGAAUUGGAAAGUUUCCUAUGGUACUACUAUUCAUGAAUUUGGUUCAAAGGAAUGGAGCAAAUGAAAACUGUAGGAUUUGUUCCUUUAGUGUCUCCUUGAAAGAAAAACCGUAGGAAUUUUAAUUUCCACUUGUCCUCCUUUUCAAAUUCCUAUUCAUGAAGCACAAGACUAAGAGAUAAUAGCGUUAUAACAUACAUUUUCUUGUGGUUUGACUUAAUCUCACCAUGCUUCUUUGCAUCAUGUGAUCUUCCAAUUCUUGUGAAUCAAACACCCAGAUUGGCAGAAAUCCUGUGUUUUUAAAUUCUCUGUUUUGCACGUGCAUUCCUAUCCUAUUCCUAUCUAUUUCCUAUCCUUGCAUUGUUGGAAUCCUCCAAUUCAAACGAGCCCUUACAUAAUUACUUCUCUUACAUAUAGUUGUCAAAGAAAACCUUGUGUGGUUUGUCCCGCUCCUGUUGCACUGUCGUCCACCCCAGCUCAGCUGCUCCAACAACAGAAGGGUCCAGCACAGCAGGGAUCCGGCCUCCAGACUGUCUUUCGCCGCCUCAGAUCUUCUUCCCCGCCGCCAGCAGCCAUGAAAACUGCAUUACCAUCAUCAACCAAUCAGAUGACCUCAAGGACUACAUGGGUCCGCAAGAGAGGUCACACUCUUUUGUGUCUGCUUACAUUAUGCAUCGCUUAAUAUUACAUGCUACUUUAUCAUCUUGUUCAUCAUUAGACACUGAGUCAGCUCCAAACUAAUGGUCAAACUUGAGUUUUUAAAUGGUUGUGGGGUACAUAUCGGGGCCGCAAUCAAUAGUAUCUAUAUACUACCUGGUUAAUCUCUGGUGUCUACUUUGAGUUUCACGUUGGGUGGGAAACAAACAGUAAAGAAGCCAAUAUCUGUAUUUUUAACUGAAGCCAUUAUCUGCCUGCUUUUAUUCGUUUUGGGUCUAUCCACAGGUUGCUAUCAUCACUAUGCAUUUCUGCAUGCACUCCUUACAUAAUCUCACUAUGUUUUAUUCCUAUGCAUGACAGUUAUUGUAAAAAAUGCAAGUGAACAUGUAGAGCAAAAGAGACGAGCCUUGCAUGAUAAUAAUAUUUCAUAUAGACGUUGCUCCAUGGUAGGCGCAAAGGCAGCCCCCCUCCACCAAUUUCGGAUUGUAAUCGAGAGGAAGAUAUCUGUUCUGAGGGGGAUUCAGAAGGAGAAGACCACUCCUAUUUACCCCCUGAGGUCUUCGCUCGCAUGCUGAUGUUGGUUAUAUCAUGCAUAUGGUGCCUUGCAUUGCUUACUUUAUACAUCAAAUAUGUCAUCUGGUUAGUUUAGACAUCCUUUGUGCGAAUGCCAUCUGUUUAGUUUAUUCAUUGUUUAUGUGAAUUAUGCAACUCCAUCUUGUUUAGCCAGGCAUCAUAUAUGUGAAUUUUUCAAUGCCAUCCUGCUUAGCCAGUCAUCUUAUAUGUAAAUUAUAUCAGGCCAUCCUUUUUUUCUUUACGUAUUACACUUGUCAACAAUGUUAGUACAUUCAACUGUUCUUCUGUGUAUUAGUGAUAAUCCCCAAGUGCAGGGAAUCAUCGUAGCAAUUUCCAAAGGUGGAAGUGAUAAGUAUGGAGCGUCGAACCAACAAGGAGCUAAAGGUAAGAUCAAUAUUCUCUCAAGCCCUAUCUACCAUUGAUACGACUCUACGUACACCGAACGUUUGCUUCCAACUAGAUGCGAGAAAUAAAACUACGUUGUGGGUAUGAAGAGGAUAACUUUGCAUGAUAUCGGAGAGCUAAAACAUAAAAGUAGGUGAUGUUAUCAUAAAGUUAGAAUAUAUUACUAAAUAUUAUUAAUAGCGAGUGUGGAAUAAUGCUGGAUCGGUGGGCGGAAUUAUCCUAGGCAAUUGUUAACAAAACCGGUAGUCGUCAUUGCAAUUUCAUAUGAGGGAGAGGCAUAAGCUAACAUACUUUCUCUUCUUGGAUCAUAUGCACUUAUUAUUGGAACUCUAGCAAGCAUCCACAACUACUAAAGAUCAUUAAGGUAAAACCCAACCAUCGCAUUAACAUAUCAAUUCCCCUUUAUUCCCAUACGCCGUGACCCACUUAUCUGUGUUUAUGCUUCUGCCACUCAACCAAUGCAGACAAUAUGUAAACCAUGGACAUAUUGCAACACCCUACAGCGGGAAUCCCUCACUCUUGCGCAACACGGAGGGCAUAAUAGGACAUCACCAAACUAAAACAUACAACUCAUACCAAUCUAGAUCAUCAAUCAACCCAAAGACAAAAGAUAUCUACUCAAAACAUCAUAGGAUGGCAACACAUCAUUGGAUCAUAAUAUGUGGCAUAAAGCACCACAUUCAAGUAGGGAUUACAGCGGGGUGCGGGAGAGUGGACCGCGUAAAAGAGAUGAGGAUGGUGAUGAUGAUGUUGAUGUUGAUGAAGACGAUCACCGCAGCGAUGAUUCCCCUCCCGAUGGCACUCCAGUGCCACCGAGGGAGAGGAGGAGAGGUCCUCCCCCUUGUGCUUCCUCCUCCAUGCCCCCCUGGAUGGGGAGAGGUCCUCCCUCUGGUCCUUGGCCUUCAUGGCGAUGAUGGACCCUCCGGGAUCCUCCUCCAUGGGCUUCGAUGAUGAUGGCCCCCUCCGGCAGGGUGCCAGAGAGGGCCAAGAUUGAUUUCUCGUGGCUAGAGAGGCUUGCGGCGGCGGAACUUCCGAUCUAGGUUAUUUCCCGAAGGUUUUUGUAUUUAUUGGAGCAGUUGGUGUUAAUUCCAUGUCAGGGGGCCCUCGGGGAGUCCAUGAGGCAGCGGGCGUGCCCUAGGGGGGUGGGUGCCCCCCACCCUUGUGGGGCCCACAGGACUCCCCUCCGUUAGAUUUUUGUUCCAGUAUUUUUCGUAUUUUCCAGAAAAAAUCUUUGUUGAUUUUCAGCGCAUUCCGAGAACUUUUAUUUCUGCACAAAAACAACACCACGGUAGUUCUGCUAAAAACAGCGUCAGUCCGGGUUAGUUCUAAUCAAAUCAUACCAAAAUCAUAUAAAACUAUUGUAAACAUGGCAUGAAUACUUCAUAAAUUAUAGAUACGUUGGAGACGUAUCAUCAUCCCCAAGCUUAAUUUCUGCUCGUCCUCGAGUAGGUAAAUGAUUAAAGAAAUUAUUUAUGAAGUGUGAAUGCUAGCAAAUGCAUAUGUUUGAUCAAUGAUAAUUUCAAUCACCUUUUCUAUCAACAUUAUAUGGCAUAACAGUAGCUCAUCUCAUAAAAAUUUUCAUGAUCAAGUAACAAGCUAUUCACAUGUUAAAGUAUAGAUCAUAAACUUUCUUGAAACUAACAAACUAUAUUCUCAGUCAUCAAACAAUUGCAAUUCAUCUUAUUUUCAGGAAAUGUCUAUGUCAGAGCUUUGAUUUAGCAAACUCCACAUACUCAACUAUCAUUUAAUCUUUCACAAAUGCUAGCACUCACGUGAUAUUUAUGGGUUCAAAGUUUUAAUUGGACACAGAGAAAGAUAGGGGCUUAUAGUUUCGCCUCCCAACCUUUUACCUCAAGGGUAAUGUCAACAUCAAUAAUUUAUGAAACCCUACAUCCAAGUGGAUAUAUAUAUAUCCGGAUCGCUCCAACACAAAGUGCUUGCCAAAGGAAAAAGUGUAAAAAGGAAAGGUGGUGAUCACCAUGACUCUUGUAUAAGGGUAGAAGAUAAAAGUAAAAGAUAGGCCCAUCGCAGAGGGAAGUAGAGGUUGUCAUGUGCUUUUAUGGUUAGAUGCACAAAAGCUUAAUGCAAAAGAACGUCACCUUAUAUUGCCGCUUGUGAUAAAGACCUUCAUUAUGCAGUCCGUCGCUUUUAUUUCUUCCCUAUCACAAGUUCGUAUAAAGCUAAUUUUCUUUGCACUAAUAGAGCAUACAUAUUUAGAGAGCAAUUUUUAUUGCAUGCACCGAUGACAACUUACUUGAAGGAUCUUAGUCAAUCCUUAGGUAGGUAUGGUGGACUCUCAUGGCAAAGCUGGUUUAAGGGAUGUUUGGAAGCACAAGUAGUAUCUCUACUUGAUGCAAAGAAUUUGGCUAGCAUGAGAGGGAAAGGCAAGCUCAACAUGUUGGAUGAUCCAAGACAAUAUAACAUUUAGGAUAUAGGAAAACAUAACCCAUUAAGUUGUCUUCCUUGUCCAACAUCAACCUUUUAGCAUGUCAUAUUUUAAUGAGUGCUCACAAUUACAAAAGAUAUCCAAGAUAGUAUAUUUGUAUGUGAAAUCUCUCUUCCUUUAAUAUUCUUUCAUGAAUUGUUCAAGUGACCAAUUCUGCGUUUGCUAACUUCCAAUAAGUUUACUACAUAUACUUAUUGUGUGUGAAGUCAUUACUCCCCAUGUUAUAAGCAUAUGAAACGUAUAUACAUUAGAUUUAUGAUAUUCAAUUCAUUCAACCAUUUACUCACAGGAUAUACGUGAAGCGCGUGAGUAAAUGACAAACUACUCCAAAAAGAUAUAAUUGAAGAACACUAAGUAGUCAAAUAAUUAACUUGCCAUUGGAGGAUUCUUUUUCAUUCAAGACUUCAGAUCCGAUUAUUUUAUUCAAACAUCAAGUAAAAUUGAAAAUACGCUCCAAUCAAAAUACAUAUCGUGUGAUGAAUAAAAAUAUAGCUCCGAGUUAAGUAUACCGAUAGUUUUGAAGACGAAAGAGGGGAUGCCUUCCGGGGCAUCCCCAAGCUUAGGCGCUUGAGUCUUCCUUGAAUAUUACCUUGGGGUGCCUUGGUCAUCCCCAAGCUUAGGGUCUUUCCGCUCCUUAUUCUCCUCAUAUCAAUAUCUCACCCAAAGCUUGAAAACUUCAAUCACACAAAACUUAACGGAACUUCGUGAGAUAGGUUAGUAUGAUAAAGGGUAAACCAUUCACUUUGGUACUGUCAAAGACAAGGUUCAUAAUUGUUCUCACACAAUGCCUACUUUACCAUAUCAUUUCUACAAUUUAUAUUGAGAAAUAUAAGCCAUAGAAACUAGAAAACAAGCAAACUAUGCAAUGAAAACAUAAUCGGUCAGAAACAGAACAGUUUGUAACGAUCUGAACAACAACCAUACUCCCGCUACUCCAAAAAUUAUGAAAUAAAUUGGUGGACGUGAGGAAUUUGUCUAUUAAUAUUCUGCAAAAAGAAUCAACUCAAAAGCACUCAUCUGUAAAAAAAUGGCAGCUAAUCCCGUGAGCAAAAACUUUCUGUUUUUUACAGCAUGAUCGCAUUAACUUUCACCCAAGUCUUCCCAAAGGUCUUACUUGGCAAUUUAUUGAAACAAAAGCUAUAAAACAUGAUUACUAAAGUAUCUUAAUCAUGUAAACAUGCAAAGAUAACAAGGGUAGAUAUUGGGUUGUCUCCCAACAAGCGCUUUUCUUUAAUGCCUUUUAGCUAGGCAUGAUGAUUUCAAUGAUGCUCACAUAAAAGAAAAUAAUUGAAACAUAGAGAGAGCAUCAUGAAGAAUAUGAGUAUCACAUUUAAAUCUAACCCACUUCCUAUGUGUAAGUAUUUUGUGAGCACAUAAUUUAUAGGAACAAGAACCAACUAGCUUAGGAAGGCAAAACAAGUAUAACUUCAAAACUUUAAGCACAUAGAGAGGAAACUUGGUAUUAUUGCAACUCCUACAAGCAUAAAUUACUCCCUCAUAAUAAUUUUCAGUAGCAUCAUGAAUGAAUUAAACAAUAUAACCAUCACAUAAAGCAUUCUUUUCAUGAUCUACAAGCAUAGAAAUUUUUCUACUCUCCACAUAAGCAAAAUUCUUCUCAUUCGGAAUAGUGGGAUCACUAAUUCCUAAACUUGACACUCUUCCAAACCCACUUUAGAUGAUAGUAUUAUUCAUACUCCAAAAGAUAUAAGUGAAGUUCAUGGAGCAUUCUACAAUUAAUAUAGACUAACCAAUAUCCAAGCUCAAAAUAUGUAAGUGAAGCACACGAAGCAUUCUAUAAAACCAUACUCAAAAUAUUUAAGUGAAGCACAAAGAGCAAUUCUAUAAGAUCAUACUUAAAAGAUAUAAGUGAAGCACAUGAAGUAUUCUAUAAAUCAAUGAAGGGCUAUCUCAUACUAAUAUGGUUCUUAAAGAAAAAUAAAAACACAAAGGACACAAAUCAUGUGAACAAAACAAAACCCGAGGUAUACCGAUAUUUGUUGAAGAAGAAAGAUGGGAUGUCAACCGGGGCAUCCCCAAGCUUAGAUGCUUGAGUAUCCUUUGAAAUAUUUACUUGGGGUGCCUUGAGCAUCCCCAAGCUUGAACUCUUUUCUCUCUUUAUUCUUCUCAUAUUGAUAGCUCCUCGAUCUUCGAACACUUCAUCCACACAAAACUUUAACAAAAACUUUGUGAGAUCCGUUAGUGUAAUAAAGCAAACUACUACUUUAAGGUACUGUAAUGAAUUAAUUCUUUAUUUAUAUUGGUGUUAAACCUACUGUAUUCGAACUUCUCUAUGGUUCAUACCCCAUAGAUUCAUCAAAAUAAGCAAGCACCACGCGAAAAACAGAAUCUGUCAAAAAUAGGACAGUCUGUAGUAAUCUGGAAGUUUAGUAAACUUCUGUAACACCAAAAAUUAUGAAAUAAAUAUGAAAAUUUGAAAAAUUUGUACAGAAGUAAUAUGCAAAAAGUUUCAGACCCAUUUGACUUUGCAGUAAAAAAAUGUAAAAUCACGCGCUACAGCGAAAGUUUCUGUUUUUGUUCUGCACAUAGAAAACAAGCAAUCUAAUCAUCCUAAAACCAAAUCUUGGCACAUUAUUUUUAUAACACAAUGGAUAUAUACAAGGGGAUAAUUAUUUACAGAGAAACUUCCAUGAAAAAUUCUACAUUGUUUUCGUGAGCAUGAACACAAGUGCUCAAGGUCGACCCUCACUUCUUCAAUGCAUAACUUUUCAAUCACUUCUCUUUUUGGAAAUCUUUUUUAGGCAUGAGAGGCAACUAAUUUUUUUUGUAUUUUAAUUCUUUAAUUUUUUUUAUGUUUCACCCACAACUAAACAGAAACAAAAAGGAAAAACAAAAUCUACUUAGUGAAGAAAGCAAACAAGCACACACGAGAAUAUCAACCCCCACGCUAUUGCUCGCCGGCAAUGGCGCCAGAAAGAGCUUGAUAAUCCCCAAGUGCAGGGAAUCAUCGUAGCAAUUUCCAAAGGUGGAAGUGAUAAGUAUGGAGCGUCGAACCAACAAUGAGCUAAAGGUAAGAUCAAUAUUCUCUCAAGUCCUAUCUACCAUUGAUACGACUCUACGUACACCGAGCGUUUGCUUCCAACUAGAUGCGAGAAAUAAAACUACGUUGUGGGUAUGAAGAGGAUAACUUUGCAUGAUAUCGGAGAGCUAAAGCAUAAAAGUAGGUUAUGUUAUCAUAAAGUUAGAAUAUAUUACUAAAUAUUAUUAAUAGUGAGUGUGGAAUAAUGAUGGAUCGGUGGGCGGAGUUAUCCUAGGCAAUUGUUAACAAAACCGGUAGUCGUCAUUGCAAUUUCAUAUGAGGGAGAGGCAUAAGCUAACAUACUUUCUCUUCUUGGAUCAUAUGCACUUAUGAUUUGAACUCAAGCAAGCAUCCACAACUACUAAAGAUCAUUAAGGUAAAACCCAACCAUCGCAUUAACAUAUCAAUUCCCCUUUAUUCCCAUACGUCGUGACCCACUUAUACAUGUUUAUGCUUCUGCCACUCAACCAAUGCAGACAAUAAGUAAACCAUGGACAUAUUGCAACACCCUACAGCGGGAAUACCUCACGCUUGCGCAACACAGAGGGCAUAAUAGGACAUCACCAAACUAAAACAUACAACUCAUACCAAUCUAGAUCAUCAAUCAACCCAAAGACAAAAGAUAUCUACUCAAAACAUCAUAGGAUGGCAACACAUCAUUGGUUCAUAAUAUGUGGCAUAAAGAACCAUGUUCAAGUAGGGAUUACAGCGGGGUGCGGGAGAGUGGACCGCGUAAAAGAGAUGAGGAUGGUGAUGAUGAUGGUGAUGUUGAUGAAGACGAUCACCACGGUGAUGAUUCCCCUCCCGAUGGCACUCCAGCGCCACCGAGGGAGAGGAGGAGAGGUCCUCCCCCUUGUGCUUCCUCCUCCAUGGCCUCCCCCCUGGAUGGGGAGAGGUCCUCCCUCUGGUCCUUGGCCUUCAUGGCGAUGAUGGCCCCUCUGAGAUCCUCCUCCAUGGCCUCCGAUGAUGAUGGCCCCCUCCGGCAGGGUGCCAGAGAGGGCCAAGAUUGAUUUCUCGUGGCUAGAGAGGCUUGCGGCGGGGGAACUUUGGAUCUAGGUUAUUUCCCGAAGGUUUUUGUAUUUAUAGGAGCAGUUGGAGUUAAUUCCACGUCAGGGGGGCCCUCGGGGGGUCCGGUAGAUUUUUGUUCCAUUAUUUUUCAUAUUUUCCAGAAAAAAUCUCCGUUGAUUUUCAGCGCGUUCCGAGAACUUUUAUUUCCGCACAAAAACAACACCAUGGUAGUUCUGCUAAAAACAACGUCAGUCCAGGUUAGUUCUAAUCAAAUCAUACCAAAAUUAUAUAAAAAUAUUGUAAACAUGGCAUGAAUACUUCAUAAAUUAUAGAUACGUUGGAGACGUAUCAAUCAGCCAUUUGACACGGUGAUGGAAAAUUCUGGAGUGAAAACAAGGUCUUUAGAGCAGACUAUGCUAUCUGACAAAGCGCAUAUCUCGCUGGUUACGGAUAGAUCCUUAGAGGAGGAUCCAGAGACAGAUGACCACUCCUAUCCCCCCCCCCCGAGGUGUAUGCUCUAACUUGGCAAGGUUAUGUUGCUCAUAUCAUGCAUAUGGUGUCUUUCCUUGCUACGUCAUUUGAUUAGUUUAGACAUGCUUUGUGUGAAUGCCACCUAUUUAGUGUCUAAUUACCAUAUAUGUGAAUUAGACAUUAUAUAUGUGAAUCUACAAUGCUAUCUUGUUGCAAAGGCAUUAUAUAUGUGAAUUCUGCUAUGCUAUCUUGUUGCAAAGGCAUUUUAUAUGUGAAUUAUGCAAUGCCAUGUUGUUUAGCCAAUCGUCAUGUAUGUGAAUUAUAUCAUUCUAUAUUUUUUUUGUAUUACAUGUUCCACUUGUUGAAAACAUUUGUAUAUUCAACUACUCUUCAUGUGCAUCAGCCAUUUGAAGCGGUGAUGGAAGUAUCUAGAGUGAAAAGAAGGUAUUCAGAGCAGACAAUGCUACCUGCUGAAGCAGACAUCUUGCUAGUUACAGAGAGCUCCUCAGAGGAGGAUUCAAAGACUGAUGACCAGUCCUAUUUCCCACCUGAGGUCUAUGCUCAAACUUGGAAGGGUUAUAUUACCCAUGUCAUGCAUGUUAUCUUGCAUUGCUUAGUUUUUACAUCAUAUAUGGAUUGCCAUCUUCUUACUUGCUUACUAUAUAAAUCAUAUAUUUGAAUUAUAUCAUGCCGUCAUGUUUACAUAGUACAUACACAGCAUCUAUCUGAAUUAUGGCAUGGCAACCCAUUUAAUAAAGACAUCAUAUAGUUAUAUCAUCGCAUCCUGUUUAGUGUUUACAGUCAUCAUAUUUGAAUUAUGGCAUUCUAUCCGUGAAUGUAUGUGAAUUAUGGCAUGCCAACCUAUUUAAUAAACACAUUAUAUAGUUAUAUCAUGUCAUCCUAUUUACAUACUCAUCAUAUUUUGAACUAUGUCUUUCCAUCUUUUUUAGUUAGCCAUCAUAAUGUGAAAUUGUGUCAUGCUAUCCUUUUUAGUUAGCCAUCAUAUAUGUGAAAUUGUGUCAUGCUAUCCUGUUUGGUUAGACAACAUAAAUGUGAAUUAUUUCAUGCCCUCUUUUAUUCCCCACUACCCAUUGCACCUGUCUAUCAUACAAUGUUUGUACUUUCAAUUACUUUUCUUGUUUAUCAGCCAUUUGAACUGGAGAGGGUGAUGGCAGUAUUUAAGGGAGUAACAACACGGUCUUCAGGAAAGAUAGUGCUACCAGUUGAUGCAGAUAGAACCACAGUUGUACUUGCCAAGAAUCAGCUCAACCACACAUAACCCAGACUCUUGCAGAUUGUACCCCUACCCAGUUGGACAGAGAACCAGCUACACCCCUUCUAACCCCAACCCCGGCAGAUAGUAACCCAGUUCCAGUUGACACAGCACCAUCUCCACCACAGAGCACCCAAACAUGAGCAGUUAGUAAGGGAACUGCAGUGCCCAAGGCAUGAGGACCACCACUCUGAAUCCCAACUCAACGCUUAAAGGAGAAGAAGAUUUUUUUUCUGAGGUCAAGUUCUGUAGCUAUGGUUCAUACUCCUUUGCUCUUGCAUUACUGUAUUUACUUAUCCCAACUAUUUUCAAAUUUGAAGGAUGGAAUUGAAACUCCAAUGGUGCAACAGGUAUGUUUUAAACCUGUUUCUUUAACUGGUUUGCUGUAGUAACUUGCUCUAUGUUGAUUUCAGUUUCAAUUGAAUAAACAUUUAUGUUCUCAUGUCAUGCACAUUACGAGUGUUAUUAUUGUUGUAUAGUUUCCCACACUUAUAUUCUGUCUAUUCUGCUUUGUCUAGAACAAAUAUUAUUUGAACUGUGUCUCUAUCUUGAUUUGGCAACAAAAACUAGAAUGCUAUAGACCAUAAAGUGACCAUGGUACAUAGAUAUAUGUUUGUUUCAUGUUGUUAUCCUGUCCACUUUACUACUGAACUCAUUUACCUAAAUGAGUUUCAUAUGCAACAUGGUAAACCUGUGAUGUGUUUGCUUGUUUCUCUUUUACAAUGCGGACAAAAUAUUGGAGAACAGUACUCCGUUGUGCAAUGGUAAAGGAAGUAAUGCAGAUAAGGUUCAAGAUAGUGAGACAUCCCUGUUGGUCUCCAAGAAAGAUGAUAAAAACUAUCUUGACGAUAGUGAGAGAACCCAAAAGUCCUAUCUUGAUGUAGUGUUUGAGUUACUGGCCACUACUGCUGGCACAAGCUCUUCGAACUCGCUGCAUGAAUCAGUUCGUCUUCUUGAGUCUCAAAUUCAAGUGAAAGACAUUGAUCAGAUGUGCUGCGACAGGAAGCUGAAGGACUGAGGAAGUCCCUGCAGAAUUCGAAUGCAUACUUUCUGGCGCAACAGCAAGCGCUGGAGGAUUUAAGCGCCAAACAAGAGAUAGUUAAUAAGCUUGGUAAGCAUCUUGCCAGCAUUAUGGCUACCCAGGAUAUUGUUUCUUGAGAUCUUCUGAAGUGGUUUCAGUUCUGGAUUUGUUUUGCUGCGGCGUUUAUUUGCGCUGGUCGCCAACUUUGACAACCAGUGUAUAUGAUAUGCUGCUUUGUUCCCUAUAUUUGCACUAGUGGCGAACUUUGAUGCCCAGUGGAUGUAAUAUGUGUAAUAGCCGUGAUAGCCUAGCGUAAGUUGCUUGCUUAUUUAUUUCCUUGUUUUCUUGUUUAUUUGUUUGCUUGUAGUGAGUGCAGUUCUUUUUCCGCGGUUUGCUAGUGGCCGCAAUAACCUAUUUUUUAAAACUAGGCCACAAUAAACAUGGGCUACAUAUUUACUGUAGUGACACUGGGCCUCCUAUGGGCCGUAGAAACAAUGGGCCUUCUACGGGCCGUAGAAAUAGUAGGACCCCUACGGAGCGUAGAAACAAUGGGCCUUCUAUGGGCCGUAGAAACAAUGGGCCUUCUUCGGGCUGUAGACACAAUGGGCCUUCUACGGGUCGUAUCAUCAAUGGGCCUUAUACGGGUCGUAUGAUUGAUUGGUCAAACAUUGGCCAAUAACAGACCGCAUUAUGGCCGUAAACGGGCUAGACUUGGAAUCGUCCAUUCACGGGCCGACCAUAACGGGUCGUCGUUAAUCGACCGUAUUUGAUGACGCUAUGAAAAGGGCCCAACAUAAUAACAGGCCACAAAUGGGCCGACUGUAUCCACGGGCUGAAUUUGACCCACAAGCAGAAAAUUACAGUAACGGGCCGUAAUUAAACGAAUGCUGGAAAUGAGACCAAGGAUAAAUGGGCCCUAAGAAGGCUGAAAGAUAACGUGGGCUUGAAACGGCCCAAUGGAAUAAUGGGCCGUUAAUGGGUAUAAAGUGAUACACUGUUCAUUACGGGCCAGUUUCACCACGGGUCGUUAAUGGGCCAAGAGUUACAAAGGGCCUCAUAUGGGCCAAAAGACGUCAUGAGCCAUACAUGGGCCGGAAGUUAAAACAGGCUAGAAUCAUAUUGGACGGCCCAUAUGACGCUACUGGGCUUAAUUCGGAUAGUUCAUAACGGGCCCUGGGUUAGCGGGAUGUAAAUGGGCUAUAUGCGAACAAGCCGUUAACAGGCUUUCCAUGGGCCGGCCUGCCACCUUUAGACUAAGUCAAAUGGGCCGGCCUUUUCACAGGAAUGGGCCAUGCCACGUGUCGACGUAUCAUAGGCGCCUUGGGUCCAAUGAGUGGAUGCCAUAUGUCCCAAUGGUGAGCCGACACGUGUUUCCUCCAGCCAAUGAUGAUUUUACACGUGGAAAAUCCCCAUUGGUCGGGGCUGUUAACGGGUUAUCGGAUCCAAAACCGGACUCGGUAGCUUAAUGGCGAUCCGUUACGGCAGAUGCCACGUGUCAGUCACCCUUGACGAAAGCACUUAUGUGACGCGCGAUUUAUCAUCAUGGAAGUGGACACUUCUGUGAUGAUAAUUUUGGUAAUGUCAUGGAACACUUCUAUGACGGCACAGGUAUGACUAUCUUGAUUCUAUCAUAAAAUCGUCAUGGAUGUACAUGCAUGACAGAAAACGUGACCUACUAUGACAAACACGUAUCAUCACGGAGGUGUAUUUUUUUUAUAGUGAGGCCAAAAUGGUCUCUUAUAAUAAUCAAAGUGUUCUUGAGGGUACACGGGAAUUUCAUCUAGUCAGUUUCAUCAUGUUGGUUUGAUUCGUGUUCGCUACUUUGAUAAUUUGAUAUAUGGGUUGACCAGUGUUUUGGUGAUGUUCUUACUUGAACAAACCUCCCACUUAUGAUUAACCCCCUAGCAAGCAUCCGCAACUACGAGAAAAGUAUUAAGAUAAAAUCUAACCAUAGCAUUAAACAUUUGGAUCCAAAUCGGUCCCCUACGAAGUAGCGCAUAAACUAGGGUUUAAGCUUCUGUCACUCUAGCAACCCAUCAUCUAAUAACUACUCCACAAUGCAUUCCCUUAGGCCCAAAUAUGGUGAAGUGCCAUGUAGUCGACGUUCACAUGACACCACGAAGGGAAUCACAACAUACAUAUCAUCAAAAUAUCGAACACAUAUCAAGUUCACAUGAUUACUUGCAACAUGACUUCUCCCGUGACCUCAAGAACAAAAUUAACUACUCACAAAUGAUAAUCAUGCUCAAGAUUGGAGGGGUAUUAAAUAGCAUAAUGGAUCUGAACAUAUAAUCUUCCACCAAAUAAACCAUAUAGUAAUCAACUACAAGAUGUAAUCAACACUACUAGUCACCCACAAGUACCAAUCUAAGGUUCCAGUACAAAGAUUGAACACAAGAGAUAACUAGGGUUUGAGAGGAGAUGGUGUUGUUGAAGAUGUUGAUGGAGAUUGCCCUCCCAAAGAUGAGAGGGUUGUUGGUGAUGACGAUGGCUUCGAUUUCCCCCUCCGGGAGGGAAGUUCCCCCUGCAGAAUCGCUCUGUCGGAGGGCAAAAGUGCUCUUGCCCAAGUUCCGCCUCGAGAUGGCGGCGCUCUGUCCCGAAAGUCCUGUCCUUAUUUUUUUAGGUCAAAAUGACCUAUAUACCAGAAGAUGGGCACCGGAGGUGGGCUGGGCUGUGCACAACCCACCAGGGCGCGCCUGGGGGGCCUGGCGUGCCCUGGUAUCUUGUGCUCACCAGGUGGCCUCCUUCGGUAGUUAUUUGCUCUAGUAUUUUAUAUAUAUUCCAAAAUAAUUCUCCAUAAAUUUUCAGCCCAUUUAGAGAUGUGCAGAAUAGGUAACUCUGGCGUAGCUUUUUCAGGUCCAGAAUUCCAGCUGCCGGCAUUCUCCCUCUUUGUGUUAACCUUGCAUAUUAUGAGAAAAAAGGCAUUAGAAUUACUCCAUAAAGCAUUAUUAUGCAUAAAAACAUUAUAAAUAACAGUAGGAAAUCAUGAUGCAAAAUGGACGUAUCAACUACCCCAAGCUUAGACCUUGAUUGUCCUCAAGCGAAAAAACGAUAUCAAAAAACAUGCCCAGAUGCUUAGAAAGAGAGGAGUCGAUAAAAACAAAAUACGUUCAUAGUAGCAUCAUGAUUAUUAUCAUAAUAGCAACAAACUUAGUCAUAAAGCUUUAUCAUACAACUUUUACCAUAUAACUUCCCAUGAACAAUUAUCAAUUCAUCACAACAUUGAAGUAUAAAGCAUAAACUCUAUAGAAAACCAGCAAACUAUGUUCUCAGUCAACUUUGCAACUACAAUUCAUCAUAUUUUCAGGAAGGGUCACGUAUCAGAGCCUUUUGGCAAGUCCACUUACUUAACCAUCAUUUAAACUUCUAUGAUUGCUAAUACUCACAUCAUAUCCAUGAGCAAAAAGUUUCAACCAGACAAAUAGAAAGAUAGGGGCUUAUAGUUUAGCCUCCGCACAUAUUCACCUCAAGGGUGAUGUCAACAAUAAAAACUCAUGCUCACUCAUAUCCAACUGGAUAUAUGUGCCUAGAUCUUUCCUCACCACAUGAUGCUUGCAAAAAGAGAAAAUAAAAAGGAAUAGGGAAGAAUACUUUGACUCUUGCAUAAAAGUAAAUACAUAAAGGUAAAAGAUAGGCCCUUUGCAGAGGGAACACUACAAAAAAAUACACUUCCAUGAUUAUACGUGUUUGUCAUAGUAGGUCACGUUCUUUGCCAUGCAUGUACAUUCGUGACGAUUUUAUGACAGAAUCAAGAUACUCAUACAUGUGCUGUCAUAGAAGUGUUCCAUGACAUUACGAAAAUUAUCAUCACGGAAGUGUCCACUUCCAUGACGAUAAAUCGCGCGUCACAGAAGUGCUUUCGUCAAGGGUGACCGACACGUGGCAUCCACCAUAACGGAACGUUGUUAAGCUAUCGGGUCCGGUUUUGGAUCCAAUAACCCGUUAACAGCCUCGACCAAUGGGGAUUUUCCAUGUGUAAAAUCAUCAUUGGCUGGAGGAAACACGUGUCGGCUCACCGUUGGGACAGAUGUCAUCCACUCAUUGCACCCAAGGCGCCUAUGAUACAUCGACACAUGGCAUGGCCCAACAGAGGCCCAUUCCUCUGAAAAGGCCGGCCUAUUUGACUUGGUCCAAAGGUGGCGAGCCGACCCAUGAAAAGCCUGUUAACGGCCUGUUCGCAUAUAGCCCAUUUACAACCUGCUAAUCCAGGGCCCGUUACGACCUCUCCGAAUUAGGCCCAGUAGCAUCAUCUGGGCCAUCCAAUAUGAUUCCAGCCCGCUUUAACUUCCGGCCAAUGUAUGGCCCAUGACUUCUUUUGGCCCAUAUGAGGCCCUUUGUAACUCUUGGCCCAUUAAUGGCCCGUGCUGAAACUGGCCCGUAAUGAACAGUGUAUCACUUUAUACCCAUUGACGGGCCAUUAUUCCAUUGGGCCGUUUCCAGCCCAAGUUAUCUUUCGGCCUUCUUAGGGUCCAUUUAUUCUUGGACUCAUUUCCAGCAUUCGGUUACAUACGGCCCGUUACUGUCACUUUCUGCUUGUGGGCCAAAUUCAGCCCGUCGUUACAGUCGGCCCGUUAAUACGUUGGGCCGUUUUCAUGUAAAAAACACGUUGGGCUGUUUUCAUAGAGUUAUCAAAUACAGCCUAUUAACGGCCCGUUAUGGUCCAUGAAUAGUACGGCCCAUGAUUGGCAAAAUGAUGAUACGCCCCAUAGAAGGCCCAUGGAUCCUACGACCCAUAAAAGGCCCAUGGAUCGUAUGACCGAUAGAAGGCCCGUGGAUCGUAUGGCUCAUAGAAGGCCCAUGGAUCCUACGGCCCGUAUAGAAGGCCAAUGGAUCCUACGGCCCAUAGAAGGCCCAUGGAUCGUACCGCCCGUAGGAGGCCCAUGGUUACAACAGUCCAUGUGUUGCCAUGAUUAUUUUGGCCUAGUUACCAAAAAUAGGUUAUUGUUGCCACCAGAAAAACACAAAAAAGAACUGCAGUGACUACAAGCAAACAACUAAACAAGACAAUAAGGAAAUAAAGAAGCAAGCAAUUAACGCUAGCCUAUUACCGCUAUUACACAUAUUACAUCCACUGGGCAUCAAAGUUCGCUACCAGUGCAAAUAUAGGAACAAAGCAGCAUAUUACAUACACUGGCCGUCAAAAUUGGCCACCAGUGCAAAUAAACGCGGCAGCAAAACAAGAGCAUAACUGAAACAACUUCAGAAGAGCUCAAGAAAGGUUAUCCUGGGUAUCCACCAUGCCGGCAAUAAGCUUAGCAAGCUUAUUAGCUUUGUCCCGUUUGGCUCUAAAAUCCUCCAACGCUUGCUAUUGCACCACAAAGUAUGCAUCUGAAUGCUCCAGGGACUUCUGUAGUCCUUCCGCUUCUUGUCGCAGCAUAGCUGAUCGAUGUCUUUCAGCUUGUAGUUGAGACUCAAGAAACCGAACUGAUUCAGACAGUGAGUUUGAAUAGCUUGUGCAAGCGGUAGUGGCCAGUAACUCGAACACUAAACCAAGACAGGACUUUGGGGUUGUCUCACUGUCUUCAAGAUAGUCUUCCUUAGCAGUUUUAUCAGCUUUGUUGGAGACCAACAAGGAUGUGUCACUAUCCUGAACCUUAUCUGCAUUACUUCCUUUACCAUUGCUUAAUAAGGCACUCUUCCCCAAUAUUCUGUCAGCAUUCUAAAAGAAGAAACAAGCAGACACAUAACAGGUUUAGCAUGUACUAGUAUAUGAAACUCAUUUCGAUGAACCAGUUCAUUAGUAAGGUGGAAAGGAUUAAACUACCAAGUAUUCUAUUGCCAAGUACUAGUACAUAAUAAAAGCAUCAAACAAACAUAUAUCUAUGUCCUAUGGUCACUGCAUUGUCUUGCCAAAUCAAAAUAGAGACAUGGUUCAAAUCAUAUCAGUUCAAGACAAAGCUGCAGUGAAAGAAUACAAAGCGUGGGAAACUACACGGCACAACAAGAUUUCAGAUGGGUACCACAGGUCUACAUGUACAACAACACUAUUGGCUCUGUUGUGAUGCUAGUAAUGUGCAUGAUAUGAGAAGUCAACUAUAUACACAAUUGAAAUUGAAAUCAACAGAGCUAUUGAUAAGAGCAAACCUAUUAAAGAAACAUGCGUGAACUUACCUGCUGUGCCAUUGGAGUUUCGAUUGGAUCCUUCAAUUUAAAAAUAAGUUUGUAUGAGUAAAUACAGUGAUACAAGAGCAAAGCAGUAUGCACGAUAGCAAUCAUAGUUAAAAAAGGCACGCCUAAGCUAGUGCUUAAGCGCGCCUAGGCUCUAGGCAUUGGCAAAACGCAUUGCGCAUAACUACGCUUAAUCUGUGCAUAACUGCGCUUAAGCAUGCGCUUUGGUCAGUAAAGCGCAAGGCGGUGGCAAAAUGCACAAUUAACGCCUAGCACUUUUUUGAACUAUGAUAGCAAUGGAAUCUUAAAUUCGAACAGUUGUUCUUCAAGUUUAGGCACUUGUUCUACAUGAACAGAGUACAAUAAGACACAAGAAUAUAGUACUUCAAAAUAGAAAAUGAGCUCAUAGACCUUACCACAUUAUUGGUUCCGGACCAGUACCGAACAAGGCGUUCCAGUCAUCGUCCAGUAAAUGUGUCUCGGGAGAACGUAAGGGAAUUUGAUGAGUUUCUUUGCCGAUGAAGUACGUUUUCUUCAGGUAAUUCCGAUACUGCCACCAAGCAUUCUUGAAGAUAGCAGAGGUAUUAGCACAGGUUACCUCAUCCUGAGUUUCCAAAUUGGUCCUUCUCUAUAGAUAAAAAUGGGAAAAUUGUUGUAUUAUAACCAUCAUGGAGGUAGGAUGUAUGGGACAAAGCAAAGUAAUUGCCAUGAAUAGCAUUACUUACACAUAACUCCUGGAUAAACACCUGCAACUGGCAUUUUCCUUCAUCUUCAGUAUAAUAUUUCCAAGAUGGGAAGAUACGCACAUACGAUUUAACAACAUCAAAUGCGAUAGAUGUUAAACUACGACUAGAUGGUUGUGCUUCCUCCAUAGGAGUAGGCGUAGUAACUUGUGGAGUUGGGGCCCUUUGGGCACUGGAGCUGCCUUACUAGCUGCUCUUGUUUGGGAGCUCUGUGGUGGAGAUGGUGAUGUGUCAAUAGGAACUGGGUUACUAUCUGUUGGGAUUGGGGUUAGAUUGGGUAAAGCUGGUUCUCUGUCCAUCACAGUAGGGGUACAAUCUGCGAGAGUUUGGGUUAUGUGUGGUAGGGCUGGUUCUCGUGCAUGUACAACUGGGGUGCUAUCUCCACCAAGAGGUAGCACUGUUUUAUUUGAAGCCCGUGUUUUUAGUCUGCUAGAUACUGGCAUCACCCAUUCCAAUUCAAUUAAACAGGAAACAUAGUUGAACGUACAGACAUUGUAUGAGAGACAGAUGCAAUAGAUAGUGUGGAAAAAAGAGGGCAUGAAAUAGUUGACAUGAAAGAGGGCAAGACAUAAUUUCACAUAUAUGAUGUCUAUCUAAACUAGAUAGUAUAGCAUAACAUAAUUCAAAGAUAUGAUGAAUAACUAAACAGGAUCGCAUGACAUAAUUCACCUACAUGUUCUCUAAGUAAUCAGGAUUGCAUCAUUUAAUUCACAUAUGUGAUUUAUAUGCUAAACAAAGGGCAUUCGAUAUGAUGUAUGAAGUAAGAACAUGGUGUUGAAUACUGUGUAUAUGAUGUCUGAACUAUGUAAUGCAAGACACCAUAUGCAUGAUAUGAGCAGUAUAACCGUGCCAAGUUAGAGCAUACACCUCGGUGGGGGAAUAGGACUGGUCAUCUAUCUCUAAAUCCAUCUCUGAGGAGCUAUCGGGACCCAACAAGAGAUCUGCUUCGACUGGUAGCACUCUCUGCUUUGAAGGCCUUGUUUUCACUCAAGAUUUUUCCAUCUCCCACCCAAAUGGCUGAUUCACAGGAAGAGUAGUUUAAUGUACAAACAUUGUCGGCAAAUGGAAAUGUAAUGAAGAAAAGGAUGGGCAAGAUAUCAUUCAAAUAUAUGAUGCCUAGUUAAACAGGAUGGCAUUGCACAUUUCACAUAUAUUAUGGCUGGCUAAAAGACAUGAGACUGCAUAAUUCCCAUAUAUGAUAUAGAAACUAAACAUGUGGCAUUACAGAACAUGUCUAAACUAAGCAGAUGAGAUAUAUGAUGUCAAAAGUAGGCACUGCAAGGCAACAUAUGCAUGAUAUGACUAAUAUCAUCAUGCCAAGGUAGAGCAAACACCUUGGGGGUAAAUAGGAGUGGUCAGCGGUGUAUGAAUCCACCUCAGAAUAGAUAUCUUCCUCUGGAUUACAAUCUGGAGAGGGGUGGGGAGGGUUUGCCAUUGUACCAACCAUGGAGCGAUGUUUGCAUGACAUUGUACUGCCGUGCAAAACUCUUCUACUUUUCUCUACAUGUUCAGCAUGACAGUGUACAAUAUCUGACAUGCAUACGAAAAUAAUAUGGUGAGAUUAUGUAAGGAGAGCAUGCAGAAAUUUAGAGUGAUGGUAACAACCAGUGGAUGGAUCCAAAAAUAAUGAUAGCAGGCUGAUGAUUGCUUUAAUUUAAUAAAAAGACAGAUGAUGGUUGCUUUACUAUUUGUUUCCCACCCAAGAUGAACAACAUAGGCAUACCCUAGGAGAACCAGAUAUUAGAUAGAGAUACUAUUCAUUGCUUCCUCGAUAUGUGCCCCACAACUAAUUUAGAACUCAAGUUUGAACAUUAAUUUGGACCUGACUUAGAGUCCAAGAGGUGAAUAGGAUGAUAAAGUAGCAGGUAAUUUUAAGCAAUGCAUAACAUAAGCAGAAAUAAAAGAGUGUGACCUCUCUUGUGGACCCGUGUAGUCCUCAGGUUCAUUUUGCUGAGUCGAUGAUGGUGAUGCCGUUGCGGUGGGUGCCGGUGGAAGGGAAGGAGAUCUGAGGCGGCGAAAGACGGUCAGGAGUCGUGAUGUCUGAUUUGUUGGAUGCUUCUGUCAAUGAAGCAGCUCAGAUGAGGUGGACGACAUCACGGCGGGAGCAGGACAAACCACAGAAAGUUUCCUUCGACACCUACCUGUAACUGAAGUAAUUCUAUAAGGGAUCAUCUGGCUUGCAUGAUUCUAAAAACGCAGGGAUAGGAAAAACAUCGGAAUAGGAUAGGAAUGCACAUGGUAAACAAAGCAUUUGUAAACACAAGAUUUCUGUCAACUUGGGUGUUUGGUUUACAGGAAUUGGAAGAGCAGAGGAAUGCAAAGAAACAUGGCCAAAAUAAAGUGAAACCAUAUGAAAGCGUGUACAGUUAGAAUGUUAUUCUGCCACUAAUGCACUUGUCUUGUUUUCAUGCAUAGGAUGUUGAAAAGUAGGUCUAGGUGGAUUCAUUCCUUUCAACAAAAUGCAUGAAUAAUUGAAUAGUAGAGUGCCAUUGGAAAAUUUCCUAUCGCUAUGUUUUUCUGUUGAACCAAAAUAGCCCUGAUGGAUUGACAUGAAUGUAUAGUAAUAAGUGAUGCAACAAGUGUACAACCUCUUUGCCGUGGCCGUGUCGACCUCAGCAUCAUUGGGUUGGUCGCUGAAGUAGUUAAGGUAGAUGUGGCUGUUGGAGGUGUGGAGGAAGAUCUGAGGAAUCUGUAGACGGCGUCCAAGGCACUGCUCUAUUGUGAUGGAUUGUUCUGUCAUUGGAGCAGCUUCGGUGAGCCGUAAGAUGUCAAGGCUGAUGCAGCACAAGACAGACAUCGUCAAUAUCAAGUGGGAUUCUAAUAGCAUCUCCAAUAGAUGAUGUAAAAUAGAUGUAAAAUUUACAUCACCAAAAAUCACCUGACUACAACAGAUGAGGUAAAAACUGUUGACUCUGAACUUAACUGUCGAAACUGAAAUUUACUGUGGAAUCUGAAUGUUACUGUUGAAACUGAACACAAUGGUAGCAGAGAGGCACUUGACAUGUAGUUUAGGGAGGGCCUGCAUUUCAUCUUCAAACGGCACCCCCUCCCCUGAGCCGCAACCACCACCGACCAAACCGCCGGCCCCAACACCGCCUCGCUGCCCCGAAACAACUCCCCACCACCGGUCCACCGCCGCCUCGGCCAGCCCUCUAGGCCCCCCGCCCCACCCUGAACCCUAAGAUAGAUAGUGGGGUACCUCUCCGGCGAGCCCCCGUCCCUGUUGCGGGUGGUUCUUCCUUAACUCCGGCGAGGCCCCCAACCCCUGAAAAUCAACAGACCCAAAAGUUGAUUCAGUCGAUUGAUGUGUAGCUAAAUUAGAGCAGAGCAGCAGCACGAGCAAGGGGGAGAGCAGCAGCAGCAGCGCGGGCAAGCGAGCGAGAGCCGGAGCAGCAACAGCUAGGCGAGCGAUUGAGCGAGAGCCGGAGCAGCAGCAGCAGCGCGAGCAAGCGAUCGAGCGAGAGCCAGAGCAGUAGCAGCAGCGCGAGCGAGCGAAUGAGAGCCGGAGCAGCAACAACAGAUCCAGCUGGUAUAGACGCCACCGCCGAAGGGGCCUCGCACUAGGGGAGAGCCGCCGUGGAGAUGUCGCCCACGGCGCCGGCUUCAAGGUAGCCACUCCAUGGGGGAGCGGGAUGGAGCGUCGUCGGUGCCGAGAGGUCGAGUUAAGGAGAAGGUGCGAUGUGAUGAGAGUACAACCUCUUUGGUGGCACCGAGUAGGCCUCGGCUUCGUCCGAGGAGUCGGUGAGGAUGCUGCGGUUCUGGUGGAGCAGGUUAGGGCGGCGGUGUGGGGAUAGAGCAGUCGCGAUAGACGAGGCGAUUAUCGGAGCAACUCCUUGGAGGUGGAGGACGGGGCGGCUGAACCGGCGGGAUGACGAGAUGGACGACGGAUCCUCAUCCGUGGAGGUGGACGAGGGACAUCGAGCUAUUGUGGUGGACGAUGUUGUCGGGGAAGAGGCUCCGACUGGGCAGCGGUGAGGUGGCGUAUGGAGGAGGGUGGGGUUUCGCGGCUGGAGCAGAGAGGUUAUGGCGGCCUGGGAUUUCGAAUGGCGUAAAGGAGGCGAUGGGAGGGGGUGAACCAUGACUUAGGGACGCGCUUGUCCAAAAUGUACGGUGUGUUACAAAAGUACCCCCCACCGAUUUGAACUAGCGGCCCUUUCGGCUCAGGGUUAGAAGGGGGAUUUCGCGUGUCGGGAUUUGGCAGCUGGAGGGAGUUUUCGCGCGCAUUGUAAUUUCGGGAUAGCAAUGCGCGGGUUGUGAAGGCGCCAGUUUUGGGAGCACGAUAUCUGAAUUUUUGGGAUAUAACAAGGCGUGGGUUGAAUUUUAGGGACAAGCCUAACGUGUAAUAUUGUACUUGUACGUACCAAAUCAAUUCGCACUUCCCUCAACCAAAAAGAAAACUAAAAAAAAUAAAACUAUUCACACCACAAAAAGAGAGAGUCUUGCCCCGUUUUACUAUACAAAUGCUAUUCAAAGCUACUCCCUCCUUCCAUCUAUAUAGGGCCUAAUGCAUUUUUUGAUGCUAACUUUGAACAAAUAUUAGAGCAAUAAUAUAUGACAUGCAACUUACACAAAGCACACCGUUAAAUUCGUUUGUGAAAGGAGCUUUCAAUGAUAUAAUUUUCACAUUGUGCAUGUCAUCUACUGUUAAUCUUGUCAAUAUUCAAAGGCGGUCUGAAAAAUGCAUUACACCCUAUAUAGAUGGAAGGAGGGAGUAUGAAUCCAUGUUAUGUCCAAUUAAAUUUUUUCGCUUGCUGUAUAAUGCAUGUAACCUGCUCAUACCAACAUUUUAGUGCAUUCCAAAUGUCUAUACUACCGCUGCAAUUCGAACUGAAUUUGAAUUCGUUUCUCUAUUUCAAUAAGAAUCUACAAUCAUGAUUGUUGCCAACUUCAACCAUCAUUCGUGUGUUACCUUAAUAACACACCACAUGAUUACUAUAGAGAUAGAUAUGAACUAUGUGUACUACAUGAACUCGAAUUCUAUUUUUUGAAUACACUUGAUGUUGAUUCCAAAUAAUAGUACAUUUGAUGUACUAACUAUAUAUUCAUAAUCUAAACCAUGUUCCAUACGUACACCGUGUUUAUCACACAAAGUAUAGUGCCCCGCCUGUCGGAUAUCGGGUUCCGGCAAAACCCUUAAGGUUCGAGCUCUAGGGUGCGCACGAAGAUCUUCUCCCUACCAAAACACGCCCACAACCUCGCCGCGAUUCUAAGCUAGCAUGAUGAACAACACAAGGGACACGAGGAUUAUACUGGUUCAGGCCACCAUUGUGGUGUAAUACCCUAAUCCAGUGUGUGGUUUGGUGGAUUGCCUCUUGGGCUGAUGAUGAACAGUACGGAGGAAGAACAGCCUCGCAAGGAGAGGUGUUCUUGUGGUGGUGUGUUUGGAGAGGAGUCGAUCUGUCUCUCUUGGCUCUAGAUGAGAUGCCUUCUACUGUGGUGGCUAGCCUUAUUUAUAGAGGCCCUGGUCCUCUUCCCAAAUAUUGAGCGGGAAGGGAGCCAACAAUGGCCAUUUUGAAAGGGGACAGCUAGUACAAGCUAUCCUGACUAAAGGUGGUCUUCGACUGCCAAAGGCACUGGUGAUGACGCCGUCUUGGGCUCCAUGGUGACCUCUGUCCUGUCGUCCUGCUGGUCUUGGUCUCGUUGCAUCGAUGUGGAAACCUUUGCCUGAUGCCUCGGUACUCCGUGCCUGCGCUUGCCCCCUUUGCACCAAAGAGGAAACUAGGACACUUUGCAGGUUGGCGCCCGCCUGGUCUUGAUCAUCAUGGCUUGCGUCAUGAGCACCUCGCGAGGUACCCCUUGCCUUGAUCACUCCGCCUCCUCGCAAGCCUGCCUGGUGAGGCCGUCCCUGAGGAGGCCUUUCUCGUCCGCCUCGCGAGGCUUGGCCCCUCGCGACGGUCUUGAGUGUUUGUGGAUGAAGGCGGGUCGUACUCCACUGGCUGAGCCACGCAGCAGGCCGCAGGCAAGCCAGUCUGGGGACCCCCAUUCCCAGAACGUCGACAGUAGACCCCGGGCCCAAGGCAUGCUCAGACUUGGCUUAGUGACAAAGCCAAAGGGCAAGUGCGGAGCGCUGUGGGCUCCAACAGCUCGUGGCCUUGGUCGCUGCAUGGUGAUUGAUUGGACGUGGGCGUCUCCGCUUCCCCAUGCUGCCUCGGCAACUGCCCGACUGACAAAAGGCUGGCCUGGGAAAGGCUUGCCUUCAUUGCUCUCCUUCGCCUUGCUCCAGAUCCCCUUCCUCGCUCCCUUGCUUUCGAAAUCUCUAGAUCCGCUCCAUUCCUCCCCCUUUAGUGAGCAAUGCCGCCCCGCAAGGUCAAGGUCGAUGCGCUGCCAGCUUGGUAUUCACCGGCCCUGGACGCCCCCAAUAUGUCGGAGAAGAAUCUCGCUGCCACACGCCUGAUGACGGUGGUGGAGGGCAGCGAGAUGUGGGAGACCAAACUCCGGGCUGGCUCCAUCGAGCCAAAGGCUAAGGGGAGCACCUUCUACCCUUCUUCAUGGACUCCAUCAUCGCCGGCCUGGUGCCUCCCUUCUUCGAGUUCUUCUACACUAUCCUCCGCCAUUACAGGUUGUAGGACCUUCAUCUCCAUCCCAACUGUGUUCUCCUUUUGUUGAUUUUCGCCUACUACUGCGAGGCACAUGUUGGGGUGAUGCCGUCCGUGGCUUUGUUGCGCCACUUCUUUUCCCUCCGAAUCAACAGCGAGCACACCUCGGCGUGUGCCAACUUCGUCGCGUACUCCAAGGCCAACGCGAUCUCGAAGACCGAGAAGAGGGUCAAUAAUUUCCAGAGCAAGUGGGUCAUGAUGGAUGCCGGAUGUAUCCACUCCCGAUUGGCGUUGCCGACGGAGCCACCCGAGUCUGACGAAGGUGGUCCAGUGCGAAGCUUACCGAUGACAGGGCGAAGUUGGUGCUGGAGAAGAUGAACGCCGACCUGAGGCCGGGCAACACGAAGGCAGCGAAGCUGAUAGGGGCCACACUCCUGAGGGAGUUCUUGAUGCAGCGGGUGGCUCUGCUUCAGGCGCACUCGUGCCCGCUGUGGACACUUGGGGGCACAGAUAACGAGCUUCGCCUAAAUCCGGCGGCCUUGGCCGACGAGGAUCUGGCCAUAGCUCUCCGCCUCUUGGUCGGGGACGACCAGGAAGGUCUGGAGGGUGCCCCUGCCCCCCUGUUCCUGCGUCAGGACUGGAAACAGGUGGUGGAUGCCAUGCCCACCGUUGAUGGGUGCAGCCUUGUGCCAGCGGUGCCUCCUGUGGCCCAGGGGGCGACGGCGCUGGUGGAAGUGUCUUCAGGCGACUCCCGCGGGGGAGGAGAGGAAGACGAAGAAGAGGAGGAGCACGACUCGGGGGCGAACACAGAGGGGAUGGGGGAGACCUCUCCCCGGCGCAGGGUCAGCAUCAUCCACACCUUGCCGGAUGACAACGAGGCCAACGCCACACGGGAGGAAGAGGAUCCACCCGUUAUUCCGAACAAGGAUAGGUCGGCACUGAUCUUCCGAGGGGCUGCUUCUUCCCAGGCACCACCCAAAGCCGCCUCCAGCCCUUCUGGAGCGCCCUCUUCCGCUCCUAGACCUCUCGAAUCUGCACCCCGGACCAAGAGACUCUCGGGCUUUAAGCUCGGCAAGAGGUCGGUAACCUAUGCCGCGAUUGACCAGUAAGUGCUCGAACUUCAUCUUGCUCUUGUUUUUGCUGCCAGAGCCUGACAUUUCUCCAUCAAUUGGUUAGGUUGUCGCUUGCAGCAAAGAAGAAGAAGGGGGACACGGUGGCUCCAUCUGGGGCAGACUCAUCUACCGUGUCUGCGUCUUCAUCCGUGGGAGGCGGUGAAGUUUGCACCUCCCCUGCCCGAUCAUCCUCGCGAGUCCCGGAGGAGUGCUCUGGCGGGGUGCCAGCCCCCAUGGCCCUGCUGGCUCUGGAGGUGCCGGUGCCUGAUGCUAUUGCUGAGGUAGCCAAGACUCAGGAGCCCCCAGUCUCCCGAGCUAUGGUUACGCUGCCGCCUUCUCCUCCUACACCACUGGUUCUGGGUUCUUCUGCCUCCUCUACUGUCUUGGACCGUGCCCUUUCCAAGUUGGGUCAGCUGCGAGAAGAUCUCUAGGGCACCGACUCCCACCUAGUAGUCGGGCGCCUGGAGUUGAUCUCUAGUUGGGUUCACUCUGAUGCCUCUAUCCGAGCAGCGCUGAGGCGGGCCGCGACAGCUUCUGAGGAGGAGAAGCAAGCCGCCACCCAGGCCGCAGCUGCCCGCGAUGCAGCACUGAAGGAUGCCACGGUCACCCAGGACCAUUGCAAGGCGCUGGAGGCCGAGCUGCAGGGCUUGCACGACGAGCACGCCAAAGAGGCUCGCAACCGCCAGGAGAAGGAGGGGGAGAUGAAGGCUCGGGAGGAUGCCGUCAGGGACUGCGACACCGAACUGACGUAGCUGUCAGAGUCGCAGGCUGCUGAGUGCAGCCGGCUGAAGACGCUGGAGCAGAAGCUGAAGGCGGAGAGGGUCAAGCUGGACGCCAAGGCGAAGGUCCUGGCCGAGGACCGUGGGGCCUUCGCGCGCCUUGACGAGAGAUCUCGCAAGGCGCUGAAGACGCUCUACGAGAGCAGCUUGGAGAAGCAGCUGGCUGGUGCCAAGGACGGCCCCGCCCAGCUGCUUCCCUUCUUGGUCGAGGUGCUUGAGGAAGUUGUGGUCGGCGUCGGUCCCAUGGCCGAGGUUGAAGCUCGCGUCCUUUCUUCUACGGUGCUGACGCGCGUCUUCAGCCACAUCUACCUUCGCGACCCUGGCGCUAAUCUCGAUGAGCUGCUAGAGCCCGUGGACAACGAGCGCUUCACCGCUACUGCUGAAGUUGUGAAGGGCCAGGUGGAAGCCUUGCUGGUGAAGUUCCGUGCCUUUGCCACUGCGCCCACGGCAGGUGCUGCUGAUCCCGUGGCCUUGGGAGGUGGAGCUGGCGGGGGCUACACCAUCACGGAGGCGGAGCCCCUGGCGAAUGACGGUGUUGUCUAAGGGUGAUCUUCUCGCGACUUCUUUCAUGUUUCAACUCCUUCAAUGUGCACCAUGCCUCCUGGAGGCGUUUAAACUUUGCGUUUGGUAUUGCAAAGACAAUUAUGGUUUGUAAUAUUUGCUUCUGGAUUUGCUUCAAAAUCUUGUGAUUUCCUUCCUAUUUGCUUUAUGUUCUACGUCGACAAAGCCCGGCCCCGCGCAUACCUCAACCGCCGUUAGCCCCAACCGGAUCACCCGGAUGGGACCAAGGAGUGAGGGGCUACGUGACAAGUUAGGCUCCUGAGUCGGGAUGCUCAGGAGUCCCCCUUGACGCGCAAACAACAAAUAGGGAGGGAAUGUAGGAGUAGAUCUGGCGUUCUACGUCGGCAGGGCCCGGCCCCGUGCAUACCUCAACCGCCAUUAGCCUCGCGGAACUAAGGAGUGAGGGGCUACGUGACCAGUUAGGCUCCUGAGUCACGAUGCUCAGGAGUCCCCCUUGACGUUCAAACGGUCUUCAUACCUUGGCUCCGCUCGAGGAGGGGCGCGCGACGACCAGGUCCGAGGGACCUAGCUGGGUGGCGUGCGCUCGGGCGUGACCUGGGCGCAGUCCUCAUGUCCAGCCCCCUCACAUGAUGCUCCCGAGGGGAGGUGUUGCGAUGAGGCCAAACACUGAGCUCUGGGCUCCCUGAGGUUGAUACGGCCAUGGGCCGGCCUCAGCUGUUUAUCACCAGCGCGAAGCAUAGUGCUUCCAUAUGUGUAAGGGCAUAGACGCUCCUCGGCAGUGUCGUCAGCCAGCAAGGAGCAUGGUGCUUCCAUUGGUACGUGGGAGGAGGCCCCUUCCGGGAGGAGCCCCCGGGGCGUGUACAGCCCCGCCAUGACACGUGGCUUGCACGGCAAUGCUAUACAAGGUGUAUCUGGGCACUCGUGAGCCAGCGCAGGACUCACGAGGCCCUACCUCAAGGCGGGUUGCACCUAGUCUUGAGCCUUGGACGGCUGUGUGUUCCUGUGAGAUGCUUAGAUACAAAUGCUCUAUGUCGUCAGGUCCCGGCCCUCGAGCGAGCUCAGCCGCCGCUGGUAUGCCAGGUCACGAUGCCGUGGACAAGGCUAGGGGGUGAGGGCUGGAGAGCCAGUAAGAGCUCCCGAGUCGCGAUGCUCAGGAGCCCCCCUUUUAAUGCGCAAGCGGUUUGCAUGGCGGAGAGGAGGCCUAUGGUAGGUGGCAUAUGAUAAUCAUAGGCAGGUUAGACAUGAAAGGCAAAUCAGCUUGUGACUGUCAUGCGGGGCGUGCGGGACCAUAAGGUAGAAGGCCUAACGUACGGGCGUGUGGGAGUUAUCUAUUUUUCCCACACACAGGCAUGUGAGAGGGACCGCAAGGAAAAAAAGAGGCGUGUGGGCAUUUCUUGUUUUGCCCACACGUAGGCAUGUGGGCUGAUCCUCUUAAACACCACACAAACUGUGUGGGCAGACCCCUUAACGCCCACACGUGUGGGCGCUAUCGGCGCCCUUUUUUUAUAGAGUAGAGAUAAAAUAUAUUAUAUGUAGUAUAACAUGUUCAUAACCACACCAUGUGUAUCACCGUUAUAUAUAUUCACACAUGCGUCGGUUUAAAACACUAUGAUAAAUUCUUCAAAUAUCUGAAUUCGCUUUUUAUAAUGAAGUAUGAUCUCUACCCACACAAUCCUCUUAUUUUUGUAGCUAGCGCUAACUUUCUCUCGUGCAUGCACACGCCCGCAUCCCUCUCACCCUCCCUCAGCAUUCUCUAGCUCCAUCGCGCAAAUUCGUCUUUUCACUUUAGGACGUUCACCCAUGGUGUGUGUAGGCCCCCCAUCUCCUUAUUUAAGGCACACAUCGAUCGAUAUGCCUAUCUAGCCAGGUGUGCCUAGAACAAACACAAGCUUCCCUCUUCUCUUAUCACCGUCCAUGCCUCACUCCCACCACUCUUUCCAUCGAUCUCGUACUCGCACACUCCUUUCCCCUCGAUAUAGUAUGUCUCUCGUACCACCUCCUGAUACGUCUCCAACAUAUCUACUUUUCCAAACACUUUUGCCCUUGUUUUGGACUCUAACUUGCAUGAUUUGGAUGAAACUAACCCGGACUGACGUUGUUUAAGCAGAACUGCCAUUGUGUUGUUUAUUGUGCAGAAAACAAAAGUUCUCGGAAUGACCUGAAAAUCCACGGAGAUAACUUUUGGAAAAUAUAAAAAUACUGGCGAAAGAAUCAAGGCCAAGGGGCCCACACCCUGUCUAUGAGGGUGGGGGCGCGCCCCCUUGUCUCGUGGGCCCCCUGGAGCUCCACUGACCACAACUCCAACUCUAUAUAUUCCGUUUCGCAGAGAAAAAAAUUAGAGAGAAAGUUUCAUCACGUUUUACGAUACGGAGCCGCCGCCAAGGCCUCUCUCUCGGGAGGGCUGAUCUGGAGUCCGUUCGGGGCUCCGGAGAGGGGGAUUCGUCGUCGUCGUCAUCAUCAACCAUCCUCCAUCACCAAUUUCAUGAUGCUCACCGCCGUGCGUGAGUAAUUCCAUCGUAGGCUUGCUGGAUGGUGAUGGGUUGGAUGAGAUUUACCAUGUAAUCAAGUUAGUUUUGUUAGGGUUUGAUCCCUAGUAUCCACUAUGUUCUGAGAUUGAUGUUGCUAUGACUUUGCUAUGCUUAAUGCUUGUCACUAGGGCCCGAGUGCCAUGAUUUCAGAUCUGAACCUAUUAUGUUUUCAUGAAUAUAUGUGAGUUCUUGAUCCUAUCUUGCAAGUCUAUAGUCACCUAUUAUGUGUUAUGAUCCGACAACCCCGAAGUNNNNNNNNNNNNNNNNNNNNNNNNNNNNNNNNNNNNNNNNNNNNNNNNNNNNNNNNNNNNNNNNNNNNNNNNNNNNNNNNNNNNNNNNNNNNNNNNNNNNNNNNNNNNNNNNNNNNNNNNNNNNNNNNNNNNNNNNNNNNNNNNNNNNNNNNNNNNNNNNNNNNNNNNNNNNNNNNNNNNNNNNNNNNNNNNNNNNNNNNNNNNNNNNNNNNNNNNNNNNNNNNNNNNNNNNNNNNNNNNNNNNNNNNNNNNNNNNNNNNNNNNNNNNNNNNNNNNNNNNNNNNNNNNNNNNNNNNNNNNNNNNNNNNNNNNNNNNNNNNNNNNNNNNNNNNAAAAGAUGUCAUGCAAGUUCUUUUUCAUAAGCACGUAUGACUAUAUUCGGAAUACAUGCCUACAUUACAUUGAUGAAUUGGAGGUAGUUCUGUGUCACCCUAUGUUAUAACUAUUACAUGAGGAAUCGCAUCCGACAUGAUUAUCCAUCACUGAUCCAAUGCCUACGAGCUUUUCACAUAUUGUGCUUUGCUUAUUUACUUUUCCGUCGCUACUGUUACAAUUACUACAAAACUGCUAUCGUUACUUUUAUCACUGUUACCAUUACUAUCAUACUACUUUGCUACUAAAUACUUUGCUGCGGAUACUAAGUUAUCCAGGUGUGGUUGAAUUGACAACUCAACUGCUAAUACUUGAGAAUAUUCUUUGGCUCCCCUUGUGUCGAAUCAAUAAAUUUGGGUUGAAUAUUCUACCCUCGAAAAUUGUUGCGAUCCCCUAUACUUGUGGGUUAUCACCUCCUAGAUGCAUCCCUCUCUCUCUAUCCUUCUCCCCAUGCCUCGUUUGCUUCUAACACACACAUUCAUGUAUACUGAUCGAUCUCCCAACGUAUACCUAGGUUGACUUUAACUAUCCCCCCCCCCCAUCGAUCGACGUACCUCACAAGUUAUGUCUCUCCUUUCUCUAACAAAGUACGAUUGAUCUUCCUGUGUAGUUAUGUCUACUUACCACAGCCAUAUCGUGCCCCCUCAUCAUUCGUGCAUUCCUCCUGACACGUCUCUCACACGCACGUGCACAGACAGGCAGCCAUCCCCUCUCUUAUUGAUAUUGCAGGUGUGCCCUCCGUUUGUCUAGCAAGCCUAUCCCACCAUUUGUUAGAAGCAACUCCACUACCACCCCCUCCAACACUCUAGCUCUGUCUCUCUCCCAACCUCAUUCCUCUCCUACACAUAUGCAUGGAUGCCGGUCAAUCUCCCUUAAUACAUGAGGUAGAUCAAUCUCCCUUAAUACAUGAGGUAGGCCUCUCUCCUCCUCUAUAGUUAAUUAGGCCUCCCUCCCCCCACCACACACCGAUAGUCGAGCGCUGUAGGUAGGUAUCCAUGCCACAGAGACAAACUGCACAUGUCCCGUCUCACGUUCCAGUAGGCCAGCCACUCUAUAUCUUUGACAUGGGCACACAUAAAUUCGAUGGCACUCUUUAUCGAUUGCAUGCGCGCACACACACAUGAUCCCUCUCUUAGAUUCUAUGGACACCUCAAGCCAAUGAUACCUCCACUCUCUUCUCGUGGAUCGCCCCCUCUAUAUAUAUCAAAUAUCCAUGACUCUAUUUCACACACAUUGCAUAUGUUAUAUUUUUUGAUUGACAACCCCCCCCCAAA
rnacentral:lncRNA from 1 species